rnacentral:lncRNA from 1 species
GCAAUUACAGCCGUUCAACAUUAUACGAUCCCAUGAUCCACAGGCUAUUCAGCUCCUUAUUUUGCAGGUUGCUUGGCAUUAAACCUGGCCCCACCUCUUGAAGCACUCAACUUUACAAUCCGCAACGCCUUCCGCAUCUGCAAAAUGGCCAACGUGAGCACAAGAUCAUCAGCUAGAACAGACGAUUCUUCUUUUUUUGCAUUGUUAAUAAGAAUGCCUGUGAGAUGUUUCUGAUUUCCUACUCCAUGAACCCCUCGUAUGCCCACUGAUAUUAUGGCCUCUAUUAGUAUCAGAUAUAGCCAAUAACUGAUAUUCUAGCCUCUGUUUGUGAUGUUGGUUUCGUCUAAUAAUGCUGUGAUGAUUCAAAUUUGCCGAUCUCCAUGUUGGAUGAAUGGCAACUACAUUCACUCGAGGGCCAAAGGCCAAUACAUAUACAUGUGUAGGGUAAAGUGCAAGGGACCCCUUAUACAAUGGGGAUAAACCGAAAAGGGCUAUACACAUCUAACACCCCCCUCAAACUCAUGGUGGAUCAACAACACUGAGUUUAGAGAGAAGAAAACUAUGAUGCGCGCGAGUCUGAGCCUUCGUGAAAAAGUCCGCCAACUGUAACUCACAGGGCACAUAGUGAAGAGCAAGUGUCUGAUCUUGCACAGCGGCACGCACAAAGUGGGCAUCCACACCGAUGUGCUUGGUGAGCUCAUGCUUCACCGGGUCACGCGCAAUACUGAUAGCGCCAGUACUGUCUGACAAUAAGGGAGUCGAGGUAGUAGCAGACACACCAAAAUCCUCAAGGAUCCACCGUAACCAGAUCACUUCAGCCGUCAGCAUGGCCAUGGCUCGCAACUCAGACUCUAUACUCGAGCGAGAAACUGCAGUCUGUUUCUUGGUCUUCCAGGCAAUAAGAGAGCCACCAAGAAAGACACAAUAAGCAGAUGGCGAGCGUCGAUCAGAGGGAUCACUAGCCCAGGUAGCAUCUGAGUAGGCCUGGAGCUCAAGAGAGCUGGAGCGGGGAAAGAAAAGGCGCUGAGAGAUCGUGCCACGAAGAUAUCGUAGAACACGGAGGAGAUGACUAUAGUGGACAGAGGUGGGGGCUGAAACGAACUGACUCAGAAUGUGGACGGGAUAGGAGAUGUCAGGACGCGUAACAGCAAGAUAGACAAGACUGCCAACAAGGUGACGAUAGCGAGUGGGAUUAGGAAGAGGGUCACCAUCAGAGGCACGAAGCUGAACAUUGAGCUCCAUGGGAGUCACAACGGUGCGCUCAUCACCGAGAGCAGCACGAGCAAGGAGAUCCUGAAUAUAUUUUUCUUGGGAGAUGUAGAAGCCAUCAGAGGUCGAGGAGAUCUCAAUCCCAAGAAAAUAGCGAAGUGGACCAAGAUCAGUCAUGAGAAACUGGUCGCGAAGGCGAGCCUUAACAAAGGCAAUAUAAUCAGAGUCGUCACCAGUGAUGAUCAUGUCAUCAACAUAGAGAAGGAGAAGAGUCCGGCCAUGAGGAGAUGUGUGAACAAACAACGCGGGAACAUGAUCACUGGGCAAGAAACUAGCGGUGAUCACCACAGAGGCGAAGCGCUCAAACCAGGCGCGAGGGGCCUGUUUGAGACCAUAUAGGGAGCGGCGAAGUCUACAGACCAUACCAUCAGGAGCAUAGUACCCCGGUGGUGGCUUCAUAUAAACCUCCUCACGCAACUCACCAUUGAGAAAAGCGUUCUGAACAUCAAGUUGAGAGAUAGACCACUGGCGGACAGAAGCCACAGCAAGAAGAGUGCGGACAAUGGUCAUGUGGGCCACAGGAGCAAAUGUCUCACCAUAGUCGCGCCCCUGCUCCUGCUGAAAACCAUGGGCCACAAGACGAGCUUUGUAGCGCUUAAGAGAACCAUCGGAGCGAGUCUUAAGCUUGUAGACCCACUUGCAGGUGAUGGGACAGACACCGGAAGGGAGGGGAACCAGAUCCCAUGUGCCAGAACGCUCAAGGGCAGCAAGCUCUUCGGCCAUCGCAAGUUUCCAUUCAGGCUGAGUCAUGGCAGUGCGAUAGGAAGUGGGCUCAGUCAGAACAGAGAGACCGUACCGAUCAGGGGAGUAGCGAUCAGGCGGGGGGCGAGGCCGAGCAUGGAGGUUAUGAACCGGGGAGGCGUGGGAGGAGGUGCACCAGAGGUGGAAGGCUCGUCAGAGGAGACAUCCUCAGUACGAGAUCGACGAGUAUAGUGGAGAGGAAAUGGGGAGAGAGGCCAACGGAUUGGAGAAGAUGGGGGAGAGGUGGAGGAGGAGGAUGGAGGAGAUGGAGAAGACGGGGUCGGUGAUGAAUGAGAAGGAAUGAGAGGUGCCGGAGGAAGAGGUGACACAUGAGGCACAUAACAGGGUGUAUCGGGAAGAAGAAGGAAAGAAAGAUCGUCCACAGAAAAACGCGAGGAAGAAGAACGGGGAUAGUAAGAGCAAGACUCGUCAAAGGUCACAUCACGCGAGAUGCGCAAGCGACGACCCACUGGAUCCCAACAUCGAUAGCCCUUGUGCUCAUUACUGUAGCCAAGGAAAACACACUCAACUGACUGAGCAGUCAGUUUGGUGCGUUCUCGGGGGGCAAGAAGAACAUAGCAGACGCAUCCAAACAUACGAAGAGCUGAGUAGUCAGGAGAGCGACCAGUGAGACACUCCAUAGGAAUGCCACCCUGCAGAGCAGUCGAUGGCUGAAUGUUGAUGAGAUAGGUGGAUGCGGAAACAGUCUCAGCCUAAAAAUGGGGUGGAAGGGAAGCAGCAAUCAUCAACGCACGAGCCGUCUCAAGCAAAUGACGAUGCUUUCGCUCGGCAACGCCAUUCUGAGCAUGAGCACCAGGACAGGAGAACUGGGCAAGAGUACCCUGUUCCGCGAGGAAACCACGCAACAACUGAGAGAUAUACUCUCCAGCGGAGUCAGCAUGAAAAUUACGAAUGGGCGUGGCAAACUGGGUGUGAACCAUAGCAGCAAAAUGUUUGUAUAUAGGGAGAACCUCGCUACGAGAUUUCAUGAAGUAGAGCCAAGUGUAGCGAGAGAAAUCAUCAAUAAACAAAACAUAGUAGUGAUGACCACCUUUCGAAUCAAAGGGAGCGGGACCCCAGACAUCAGAAUGAACUAAGUCAAAAGGACGCUGAGAUACAGACUCACUAGUAGGAUAAGGUAACCGGGUCUGUUUUCCAAGUCUGCAACCAUUACAAUGUAAGGAGACAUCUCCACAUACAGACCCUAAGAGGCCCUGACGAACUAAGGAAGACAAGCGAGAGCCACAGAUGUGACCAAGUCGAUGAUGGCACUGCUGGAAGGACGCAGACGAAGAGGCAGCAAGAGCAUGAGAGCUGGCAGAAGUGGUGGCAGCGGAAGGAACACAAAGCCAGCCAACCUCCCAAAGGCCCUCUGACUCACGGCGCCGGGGGCCAGCACCAACCAAAGCCUUGGUGCGACGAUCCUGAAUGGAGCAAGAGUCGAUAUCAAGAAUGACAUGACAACCAGAAUCAGUAAGUUGGGCAGCGGAAAAAAGAUUCAUGGUAAGGCGAGGAACAUGUGAAACACUUGGAACAGAAAAAGAAGGAGUGGAAAGAAUACCACGACUAGCAACAGGAAGAGAUGUGCCAUCGGCAGUAAGAACAUUAACAGGCGAAUUAAGAGGCCGAAGAGAAGACAAGGCGAAAGAAUCAGAAGACAUAUGAAAGGAGGCUCCAGAAUCCAGAACCCACGAAGAUGUACCUGACUGUGUAGAUGCCUCUGAUGGUGAGGAGGAAGGGGCAGUCACAUCAGCAGCAGAGCCAGUCGACGAGGAGCCUGAGGAAGCCAGAAGACGCUUGAGGCGAACAAUGUCCUGGUCAGUGAGUGAUGGAGUCGAGGAUGACAUAGGAGGCCUGCUGGAGGUGGAGCGCCUCUGGUCUCGCUUCUUCUGGCGACAGUCAGACUCUGGGUGACCCGGCCGGGAGCAAUAACCACAGACGGUGUCAUGGCGCGACGUGCCCUUCUCAGCAUAAGGAGGACGGCUGACCCCCCCCUGGAGGAGUAGGCAGGAGUGGUGGAGCGGUGAGGCGAGCAGAUGACACAGGAGCUCGGACGGCUAGCACUGACGGAACCAGAAGCAACCCAGUAGAGCGAAGACGAGUCUCCUCAGCACGGAGCUCGGCAAGUACCUCCGAGAUAGGAACACGACCACGAGCAAGCAAGUGAGCACGUCGAGGCUCAAACUCAGACCGGAGACGAGAUAAGAACUCAUGAACCCGCUGAAACUCCAGAUCAGACCGAGUAGUCUGACAACAACGACAUGUUCCACAAACAACUGUCCGAAGAGAGUCAAGCUGGCGCCAGAUGGCAGAGCACUGUGAAUAGAACUCAUCAACAGAAGAAUCACCUUGCUGAAGUGCAUGCUCCUGAUGCACCACAGAUAGGUAAAGAGCAUCACCAGAGGGCUGAUAGCGCUGACACAGAUAAGACCACAUCGCUGCAACUGUGCUAAGUCCCAUGAACUCCGAAGCAAACUGAGGGAGAACACUCGCAGUGAGAACAGCAGCCGCUCGAGCAUCAUCAUUGCAACACUGAGUGUAAGCAGACAGAUCAUCCCGGUAGACAGUAAGAGCAUCAGAAUAGGCAGAUACCUGCUGAUCAUAAGUAGCAACUAUAGCAUCAUCAAGAGUCUUGGCUGCAUCACGAUCAGCCUGAGAAGUAUCAGGAGCAAUCACCGGCGGUGCUGGCGGAACAGGCGCCACCGGAGCAACAGGACACGGCGGACAUGGUACCUCGCCAGAAAGAACACCCCACAGCAGAAGGCCGCGCAUAUGAAUACGCAUGAAACCGGCAAACUCAGCAUAGUUGGUGCCAUCAAAGAUCACCGAGCAGCGAGGAACAGCCACAUAGCCCGAAGAUGACAUACUGAGGUAUCCCUUUGUGUUGUUUCUGCCCUUUUUUUGAAGUCAACAUGUACAGGAAAACCCAAUCUGGAUCGAGAGAAACACGAGCGCUCGCUCACGCCCUCGCUCGGGCAAUCGAGGCGAGCAGGGCCAGUGGCUUGAGCUCGAGCAAAGCGGGCGGGUUGGGGACCCCCGCUCGAAGCAGAGCAGUCGGGUGGGGAACCUCCGCUCGAAGCAGAGCAGCAGCCGAGCAGGCCCGAUGGGACAGCACCCAGACGGAGAACUCAAGCGGCGGCCUGCCUCAAGCCAAGCGGAGCAGGGGAGCACCAGCGGCCCGGCGGUAGGAGGCGCGGCAGCAGGGUGGAGCAGACCGGGGCGGACAGAGCCGCGGCGAGGAGGUCCAGGGCGGCCUGAUUCGUCGGGAGGAGAGCCAGGACGGUCAGAGCCGCAGCGAGAAGGUCCGGGGCGGCCGGUUUCUCGGAGAGGAGAGCCGGGACGGCCGGAUCCACGACAAGAAGAGCCGGACCUGGCUGUGGGCGAAUCGGGGGAGGAGCUAGCACGGAGUUGCAGCGUGCGGGAGAGAAGGGAACCUAACAUCUGAUACCAUGUUGGAUGAAUGGCAACUACAUUCACUGGAGGGCCAAAGGCCAAUACAUAUACAUGUGUAGGGUAAAGUGCAAGGGCCCCUUAUACAAUGGGGAUAAACCGAAAAGGGCUAUACACAUCUAACACUCCACAACAGUGAAACUAAUUUUUAUUGCUCGAGUCAUACAAAGUCGCAGAUAUCAAUUUGAUGGCUUUUCCAUGUCCUGCAGGUAUCAGAGUUACGUUUUGGUGGCUGAGAUGCAGAAGUGGCUCGUUUGAUGCGAUGCACACGGAAAUUUACCUUUAUGUAGGAUGCAGUGGUCAGCUGUGAAGUGGACUCGUAGGAAUUAAUCACUUAUUUGCUCAAACCCGUCUUGUUAUCAAACACAGUCAAUUGACCAACUGACAUGGAGACAUAAGAAUUGCUUGUAUUAAUCAGUACCUUUCAGUUGAUCUUUGUUUGCAUGCAUUCUGUGUGUGUGUGUGUGUGUGCAUAUUUUUAUUGUUUUGUUUUGCUUGCUGUUCCAUGUUGUCUCUGACGGAGAGAAUUCCGCAUCAAAUUUAAUUUCUGCUCCUGUCCCAUUUUGCGUGUUUGUUUUGUAUCUGGUUCUGACUGAUCAAUGUUGAGUUGCUUGCUUUCGCUGGAUUCAGGAAGGUUUCUGUGAGAUUGCUAAUGUUUUAACCUGUUAUGAUAUAAACAUGCCACUUUGAGAUUUGCAAAACUUAACACAAGUGAUGCGCCGACGCGCGGAAACACAUGUUGCUUCUCACGCACCUGCUGUUGUUGCUGCUGCCGAGGGCGUCCUCUGAAGCCGCCGCUGCCAUUAGAGGGAGAGGGCUGCCGGUCACCGCGGUCACCACUACGGUCGCGCCCCCUUCGUCCUCGCCCGUGAUAGGAUCUGUCACGGGAUGAGCCACGGCCUCUAUAGACUGCAUUAGCGGAUGUAUGAAACCCGCCUGAAGAAGAGUCGCCCAACAUCUCCAUCCUUUGAUCAAAGGCAGAGAUCUGAGCAAAAAGAUCAUCGGCGGUGAUGCUGUUCUUGACAGCGCCGAUCGCCGCCACCACGGAGUCGUAGUCGCGGUCCAGACCUGCAAGUAUCACUAGUAGAAAAGGGGGCAAUGGUCCAGGCCGGGUAAGCCCAUUAGUCCCGGUUCAAUCCAGAAACGGGACCAAUGGGGGCAUUGGACCUGGUUUGUGAGCCCCGAGGGCCGGCCGGGCCACGUGGGCCAUUGGUCCCGGUUCGACUGGACCUAUUGGUCCCGGUUGGUGGGACGAACCGGGACCAAUGGGCCUCGCUCCUGGCCCACCACCAUUGGUCCCGGUUGGUGGUGUGAACCGGGACCAAAGGCCACCCAAUAGUCCCGGUUCGUGGCACGAACCGGGACCAAUUAGUUGCCUAUAUAUACCCCUCGCUCGCGAGCAGAGCACUCUGAGUGCUCUGUUUUUCGUGGCCGGCGAGGGGAGAGCAUUGUGGUGCUCUAGCUCACCUCCUAUGUGUUGGGGAACGUAGCAGAAAUUCAAAAUUUUCCUAUGUGUCACCAAGAUCUAUCUAUGGAGAAACCAGCAACGAGGGGAAGGAGAGUGCAUCUACAUACCCUUGUAGAUCGCUAAGCGGAAGCGUUCAAGAGAACGGGGUUGAAGGAGUCGCACUCGUCGUGAUCCAAAUCACCGGAGAUCCUAGUGCCGAACGGACAGCACCUCCGCGUUCAACACACGUACAGCCCGGUGACGUCUCCCAUGCCUUGAUCCAGCAAGGAGAGAGGGAGAGGUUGAGGAAGACUUCAUCCAGCAGCAGCACAACAGCGUGGUGGUGAUGGAGGAGCGUGGCAAUCCUGCAGGAUUUCGCCAAGCACCGCGGGAGAGGAGGAGUACUUGGGAGAGGGGGAGGGCUGCGCCAGAACUUGUGGUGCGGCUGCCCUCCCACCCCCCACAUAUAUAUAGGGGCAAAGGAGAGGGGGGCUGGCCCCCUCAGAUCCAAUCCGAGGAGGGGGCGGCGGCCAAGGGGGGGAGGAGUGCCUCCCAAGUCAAGUGGAGGCCCUCCCCCUUAGGGUUUUCCCCUUCCCAUGCGCAUGGGCCUUGGGGGGGCUGGUUCCCCUGGCCCAUUAAGGCUAGGGCGCCCCCUUACAGCCCAUGCUUCUGUAUUGGACGUGGUGGAACAAUUUCCGGACCUCCGGACCCCUCCGGAAUCCUCCGGAACCUUCUGGAAGCUUCCCGGUACAAUACCGGAAAAACCCGAACUUUUCCCGGAACCCGAACAACAACUUUCCAUAUAUAAAUCUUUACCUCCGGACCAUUCCGGAACUCCUGGUGACGUCCGGGAUCUCAUCCGGGACUCCGAACAACAUUCGGUAAUAACAUACAAACUUCCUUUAUAACCCUAGCGUCAUCGAACCUUAAGUGUGUAGACCCUACGGGUUCGGGAGACAUGUAGACAUGACCGAGACGUUCUCCGGUCAAUAACCAACAGCAGGAUCUGGAUACCCAUGUUGGCUCCCACAUGUUCCACGAUGAUCUCGUCGGAUGAACCACGAUGUCAAGGACUCAAUCGAUCCCGUAUACAAUUCCCUUUGUCUAACGGUAUUGUACUUGCCCGAGAUUCGAUCGUCGGUAUGCCGAUACCUAGUUCAAUCUCGUUACCGGCAAGUCUCUUUACUCGUUCCGUAAUACAUCAUCCCAUGAUCAACCCUUUGAUCACAUUGUGCACAUUAUGAUGAUGUCCUACCGAGUGGGCCCAGAGAUACCUCUCCGUUUACAUGGAGUGACAAAUCCCAAUCUCGAUUCGUGCCAACCCAACAGACACUUUUGGAGAUACCUGUAGUGCACCUUUAUAGCCACCCAGUUACGUUGUGACGUUUGGUACACCCAAAGCGUUCCUAUAGUAUCCGGGAGUUGCACAAUCUCGUGGUCUAAGGAAAUGAUACUUGACAUUAGAAAAGCUUUAGCAUACGAACUACGAUCUUUGUGCUAGGCUUAGGAUUGGGUCUUGUCCAUCACAUCAUUCUUCCAAUGAUGUGAUCCCGUUAUCAAUGACAUCCAAUGUCCAUGGUUAGGAAACCGUAACCAUCUAUUGAUCAACGAGCUAGUCAACUAGAGGCUUACUAGGGACAUGGUGUUGUCUAUGUAUCCACACAUGUAUCUGAGUUUCCUAUCAAUACAAUUAUAGCAUGGAUAAUAAACGAUUAUCAUGAACAAGGAAAUAUAAUAAUAACUAAUUUAUUAUUGCCUCUAGGGCAUAUUUCCAACAGUCUCCCACUUGCACUAGAGUCAAUAAUCUAGUUCACAUCGCCAUGUGAUUAACACUCACAGGUCACAUCGCCAUGUGACCAACAUCCAAAGAGUUUACUAGUGUCAUUAAACUAGUUCACAUCAUCAUGUGAUUAAGACUCAAUGAGUUCUGGGGUUUGAUCAUGUUUUGCUUGUGAGAGAGGUUUUAGUCAAUGGGUCUGCAACAAUCAGAUCUGUAUGUACUUCGCAAUUCUCUAUGUCAUAUUGUAAAUGCUGCUUCCACGCUCCACUUGAAGCUAUUCCAAAUGGUUGCUCCACUAUACGUAUCCGGUUUGCUACUCAGAGUCAUUCAGAUAGGUGUUAAAGCUUGCAUCGUCGUAACCCUUUACGCCGAACUCUUUAUCACCUCCAUAAUCGAGAAAUAAAUCCUUAUUACUCCAAGGACAAUUUUGACCGCUAUCUGGUGAUCCACUCCUUGAUCACCUUUGUACCCUCUUGCCAGACAUGUGGCAAGGCACAUAUCAUGUGCGGUAUAUAGCAUAGCAUACUGUAGAGCCUACGUCUAAAGCAUAGGGGACGACCUUCAUCCUUUCUCUCUUUUUUCUGCCGUGGUCGAGCUUUAAGUCUUAACUUCAUACCUUACAACUCAGCCAAGAACUCCUUUGACUGAUCCAUCUUGAACACUUUCAAGAUCAUGUCAAGGUAUGUGCUCAUUUUGAAAGUACCAUUAAGCAUUUUGAUCCAUCCUCAUAGAUCUUGAUGCUCAAUGUUCAAGUAGCUUAAUCCAGGUUUUCCCUUGAAAAACACUUUUCAAAUAACCCUAUAUGCUUUCCAGAAAUUCUACAUCAUUUCUGAUCAACAAUAUGUCAACAACAUAUACUCAUCAUAAAUUCUAUAGUGCUCCCACUCACUUCUUUGGAAAUACAAGUUUCUCAUAAACUUUGUAUAAACUCAAAAUCUUUGAUCAUCUCAUCAAAGCGUUCAUUCCAACUCCGAGAUGCUUACUCCAGUCCUUAGAAGGAUCGCUGGAGCUAGCAUACCUUUUAGCACCCUUAGGAUUGACAAAACCUUUCUGAUUGUAUCGCAUACAACCUUUCCUUACGAAAACUGGUAAGGAAACUAGUUUUGACAUCCAUCUGCCAGAUUUCAUAAAUGCAGCUAAUGCUAACAUGAUUCCGACGGACUUUAAGCAUCGCUACGGAUGAGAAAAUCUCAUCGUAGUCAACUCCUUGAACUUGUGAAAAACUCUUCGCCACAAGUCGAGCUUCAUAGAUGGUGACAUUACCGUCCACGUCCGUCUUCUUCUUAAAGAUCCAUUUAUCUCAAUGGCUUGCCGAUCAUCGGGCAAGUCCACCAAAGUUCAUGCUUUGUUCUGAUACAUGGAUCCUAUCUCGGAUUUCAUGGCUUCUAACCAUUUGUCGGAAUAUGGGCCCACCAUCGCUUCUCCAUAGCUCGUAGGUUCAUUGUUGUCUAGCAACAUGACCUUCAAGACAGGAUUACUGUACCACUCUGAAGUAGUAUGCAUCCUAGUCACCCUACGAGGUACGGUAGUGACUUGAUCCAAAACUUCAUGAUCACUAUCAUAAGCUUCUACUUCAAUUGGUGUAGGCGCCACAGGAACAACUUCCUGUGCCCUGCUACACACUUGUUGAAGUGACGGUUUAAUAACCUCAUCAAGUCUCCACCAUCCUCCCACUCAACUCUUUCGAGAGAAACUUUUCCUCGAGAAAGGACCCGUUUCUAGAAACAAUCCCUAUUGCUUUUAGAUCUCAAUUAGGAGGUAUACCCAACUGUUUUGGGUGUCCUAUGAAGAUGCAUUUUAUCCGCUUUGGGUUCGAGCUUAUCAACCUGAAACUUUUUCACAUAAGCAUUGCAGCCCCAAACUUUUAAGAAAUGACAACUUAGGUUUCUCCAAACCAUAGUUCAAACGGUGUCAUCUCAAUGGAAUUACAUGGUGCCCUAUUUGAAAGUGAAUGCGGUUGUCUCUAAUGCCUAACCCAUGAACGAUAGUGGUAAUUCGAUAAGAGACAUCAUGGUACGCACCAUAUCCAAUAGGGUGCAACUAUGAUGUUCGGACACACCAUCACACUAUGGUGUUCCAGGCGGUAUUAAUUGUGAAACAAUUUCCACAAUGUCUUAAUUGCGUGCCAAAGCUCGUAACUCAGAUACUCAUCUCUAUGAUCAUAUCAUAGACAUUUUAUCCUCUUAUCACGAUGAUCUUCAACUUCACUCUGAAAUUACUUGAACCAUUCAAUAAUUCAGACUUGUGUUUCAUCAAGUAAAUAUACUUAGUAUCUACUCAAAUCAUCCGUGAAGUAAGAACAUAACGAUAUCCACUGUGUGCCUUAGCACUCAUUGGACUGCACACAUCAAAAAUGUGUUACUUCCAACAAGUUGCUAUCUAGUUCCAUCUUACUGAAAACGAGGCUUUUCAGUCAUCUUGCCCAUGUGGUAAGAUUUGCAUAUCUCAAGUGAUUCAAAAUCAAGUGAGUCCAAACGAUCCAUCUGCAUGGAGUUUCUUCAUGCGUAUACACCAAUAGACAUGGUUCGCAUGUCUCAAACUUUUCAAAAACGAGUGAGUCCAAAGAUCCAUCAACAUGGAGCUUCUUCAUGCGUUUUUAUACCAAUAUGACUUACAUGGCAGUGCCACAAGUAAGUGGUACUAUCAUUACUAUCUUAUAUCUUUUGGCAUGAAAAUGUGUAUCACUACGAUCGAGAUUCAAUAAACCAUUCCUUUAGGUGCAAGACCAUUAAAGGUAUUGUUCAAAUAAAUAGAGUAACCAUUAUUCUCCUUAAAUGAAUAACCGUAUUGCGAUAGACAUAAUCCAAUCAUGUCUAUGCUCAACGCAAACACCAAAUGACAAUUAUUCAGGUUUAAUACUAAUCUUGAUGGUAGAGGGAGCGUGCGAUGUUUGAUCACAUCAAACUUGGAAAUACUUCCAACACACAUCGUCAGCUCACCUUUAGCUAGUCUCUGUUCGUAGCUUUUAUUUCGAGUUACUAACACUUAGCAACCGAACUGGUAUCUAAUACCCUGGUGCUACUAGGAGUACUAGUAAAGUACACAUUAACAUAAUGUAUAUCCAAUAUACUUCUAUCGACCUUGCCAGCCUUCUUAUCUACCAAGUAUCUAGGGUAAUUCUGCUUCAGUGGUUGUUCCCCUUAUUACAGAAGCACUUAGUCUCGGGUUUGGGUUCAACCUUGGGUUUCUUCACUAGAGCAGCAGCUGAUUUGCCAUUUCAUGAAGUAUCCCUUGCCCUUGCCCCUUUUGAAACUAGUGGUUUCACCAACCAUCAACAAUUGAUGCUCCUUCUUGAUUUCUACUUUCGCGGUGUCAAACAUCGUGAAUACUUCAAGGAUCAUCAUAUCUAUCCCUGAUAUGUUAUAGUUCAUCACGAAGCUCUAGCAGCUUGGUGGCAAUGACUUUUGAGAAACAUCACUAUCUCUGGAAGAUCAACUCCCACUCGAUUCAAGUGAUUGUCGCACUCAGACAAUCUGAGCACAAGCUCAACGAUUGAGCUUUUCUCCCUUAGUUUGCAGGCUAGAAAAAUCGUCGGAGGUCUCAUACCUCUUGAUGUGGGCACGAGCCUGAAAUCCCAAUUUCAGCCCUCGAAACAUCUCAUAUGUUCCGCGACGUUUCGAAAACGUCUUUGGUGCCUCAACUCUAAAUCGUUUAACUGAACUAUCACGUAGUUAUCAAAACGUGUAUGUCCGAUGUUCGCAACAUCCACAGACGACGUUUGGGGUUCAGCACACUGAGCGGUGCAUUAAGGACAUAAGCUUUCUAUUGUUCGCAUAAUCGCUACUGUCAACUUUCAACUAUAUUUUCUCUAGGAACAUAUCUAAACAGUGGAACUAAAGCGCUAGCUUACGACAUAAUUUGCAAAGAUCUUUUGACUAUGUUCAGGAUAAUUAAGUUCAUCUUAUGAACUCCCACUCAGAUAGACAUCCCUCUAGUUAUCUAAGUGAUUACAUGAUCCGAGUCAACUAGGCCGUGUCCGAUCAUCACGUGAGACGGACUAGUCAUCAUCGGUGAACAUCUUCAUGUUGAUCAUAUCUACUAUACGACUCAUGCUCGACCUUUUGGUCUCUUGUGUUCCGAGGCAAUGUGUGUACAUGCUAGGCUCGUCAAGUCAACCUAAGUGUUCCGCGUGUGUAAAUCUGUCUUACACCCGUUGUAUGUGAACGUAAGAAUCUAUCACACCCGAUCAUCACGUGGUGCUUCGAAACGACGAACUUUCGCAACGGUGCACAGUUAGGGGGGACACUUUCCUGAAAUUUUAAUGAGGGAUCAUCUUAUCUACUACCGUCGUUCUAAGCAAAUAAGAUGCAUAAACAUGAUAAACAUCACAUGCAAUCAAAUGGUGACAUGAUAUGGCCAAUAUCAUUUUGCUCCUUUUGAUCUCCAUCUUCGGAGCUCCAUGAUCAUCAUCAUCACCGGCAUGACACCAUGAUCUCCAUCAUCAUGAUCUCCAUCAUCGUGUCUCCAUGAAGUUGUCUCGCCAACUUAUUACUUCUACUACUAUGGCUACCGGUUAGCAAUAAAGUAAAGUAAUUACAUGACGUUGUUCAAUGACACGCAGGUCAUUCAAUAAAUAAAGACAACUCCUAUGGCUCCUGUCGGUUGUCAUACUCAUUGACAUGCAAGUAGUGAUUCCUAUUACAAGAACAUGAUCAAUCUCAUACAUCACAUAUCAUUCAUCACAUUCUUCUUGGCCAUAUCACAUCACAAAGCGUACCCUGCAAAAACAAGUUAGACGUCCUCUAAUUAUUGUUUGCAUGUUUUACGUGGCUGCUAUGGGUUUCUAGCAAGAACGUUUCUUACCUACGCAAAAGCCACAACGUGAUAUGCCAAUUGCUAUUUACCCUUCAUAAGGACCCUUUACAUCGAAUCCGAUCCGACUAAAGUGGGAGAGACUGGCACCCGCUAGCCACCUUAUGCAACAAGUGCAUGUCAGUCGGUGGAACUUGUCUCACGUAAGAGUACGUGUAAGGUCGGUUCGGGCCGCUUCAUCCCACGAUGCCGCCGAAUCAAGAUUGGACUAGUAACAGUAAGCAUAUUGAACAAAAUCAAAGCCCACAACUACUUUUUGUUCUACUCGUGCAAAGAAUCUACGCAAUAGACCUAGCUCAUGAUGCCACUGUUGGGGAACGUAGCAGAAAUCCAAAAUUUUCCUACGUGUCACCAAGAUCUAUCUAUGGAGAAACCAGCAACGAGGGGAAGGAGAGUGCAUCUACAUACCCUUGUAGAUCGCUAAGCGGAAGCAUUCAAGAGAACGGGGUUGAAGGAGUCGUACUCGUCGUGAUCCAAAUCACCGGAGAUCCUAGUGCCGAACGGAUGGCACCUCCGCGUUCAACACACGUACAGCCCGGUGACGUCUCCCAUGCCUUGAUCCAGCAAGGAGAGAGGGAGAGGUUGAGGAAGACUCCAUCCAACAGCAGCACAACAGCGUGGUGGUGAUGGAGGAGCGUGGCAAUCCUGCAGGGCUUCACCAAGCACCGCGGGAGAGGAGGAGUACUUGGGAGAGGGGGAGGGCUGCGCCAGAACUUGUGGUGCGGCUGCCCUCCCACCCCCCACAUAUAUAUAGGGGCAAAAGAAAGGGGGGCCGGCCCCCUCAGAUCCAAUCUGAGGAGGGGGCGGCGGCCAAGGGGGGGAGGAGUGCCUCCCAAGUCAAGUGGAGGCCCUCCCCCUUAGGGUUUUCCCCUUCCCAUGCACAUGGGCCUUGGGGGGGCUGGUUCCCCUGGCCCAUUAAGGCUAGGGAGCCCCCUUACAGCCCAUGCUGCUGUAUUGUACGUGGUGGAACAAUUUCUGGACCUCCGGACCCCUCCGGAAUCCUCCGGAACCUUCUGGAAGCUUCCCGGUACAAUACCGGAAAAACCCGAACUUUUCCCGGAACCCGAACAACAACUUUCCAUAUAUAAAUCUUUACCUCCGGACCAUUCCGGAACUCCUCGUGACGUCCGGGAUCUCAUCCGGGACUCCGAACAACAUUCGGUAACCACAUACAAACUUCCUUUAUAACCCUAGCGUCAUCGAACCUUAAGUGUGUAGACCCUACGGGUUCGGGAGACAUGUAGACAUGACCGAGACGUUCUUCGGUCAAUAACCAACAGCGGGAUCUGGAUACCCAUGUUGGCUCCCACAUGUUCCAUGAUGAUCUCAUCGGAUGAACCACGAUGUCAAGGACUCAAUUGAUCCCGUAUACAAUUCCCUUUGUCUAACGGUAUUGUACUUGCCCGAGAUUCGAUCGUCAGUAUGUCGAUACCUAGUUCAAUCUCGUUACCGGCAAGUCUCUUUACUCGUUCCGCAACACAUCAUCCCGUGAUCAACCCUUUGAUCACAUUGUGCACAUUAUGAUGAUGUCCUACCGAGUGGGCCUAGAGAUACCUCUCCGUUUACAUGGAGUGACAAAUCCCAGUCUCGAUUCGUGCCAACCCAACAGACAUUUCCGGAGAUACCUGUAGUGCACCUUUAUAGCCACCCAGUUACGUUGUGACAUUUGGUACACCCAAAGGAUUCCUACUGUAUCCGGGAGUUGCACAAUCUCGUGGUCUAAGGAAAUGAUACUUGACAUUAGAAAAGCUUUAGCAUACAAACUACGAUCUUUGUGCUAGGCUUAGGAUUGGGUCUUGUCCAUCACAUCAUUCUCCCAAUGAUGUAAUCCCGUUAUCAAUGACAUCCAAUGUCCAUGGUUAGGAAACCGUAACCAUCUAUUGAUCAACGAGCUAGUCAACUAGAGGCUUACUAGGGACAUGGUGCUGUCUAUGUAUCCACACAUGUAUCUGAGUUUCCUAUCAAUACAAUUAUAGCAUGAAUAAUAAACGAUUAUCAUGAACAAGGAAAUAUAAUAAUAACUAAUUUAUUAUUGCCUCUAGGGCAUAUUUCCAACACUAUGCACACGAGGUGUUUGAUGGAAUGCCUGAGCCACACUACUUAAGCUUUCUCCUCUCCAAGCUCGACCUCCAAGCUCCAUUUUCCUCAAUAUUUGUCUAGGUUUAGCGGUCCGUCACGUCCCGUCCCCGUCUUCACCGCCGUCGAUCGCCCGCGCCGAUCUCGUCGCCGGCACCACCGUGGUGAGCCUCUUGUUCUUAUCUUCUUUCUGAAAGGAAAAAAAUUCUUACUUGUAUGUUUAUAUAGAUACUUGUAUAAUUUUCUUACUUUUAUUAUUGCAUCUUAUAUAGUGCGAUGGUUUUGGUAUCCGCCCCCGUCAGCCCUCGUCCUGUCUAUGAUUCGGAUGUGGUAUAUAUUAUCUUUUCAUAACUAUUGGUUCAUUUAUUGUUUAUGACAAUUAUGCCGACCAAUGUGACAUAGAUUUUAUUUAUCUAGGAGGUUGUUGAACCGGAAAUUCCAACCGACCCUAUUGUCGAGAGGUUAAAUUUAGUUGAAGAAGAAAACAAUUUGUUGAAGGAAAAACUUAGAAAAAUUGAGGAGGAGAAGAUGAUAUUGGAGUUGCAUGUUGCGGAUGUCGUCGAUGAUCAAAAGAUCAAGAUGGAUGCAAUGCGCUUGAAGAUUAGAAAGAUUAGAAAAUAUGCCAUUCAUACCGAGGCUUGGUAUCAUUAUGUCGUUGGAUCAGUUGUUACAUUGGUUGCGAUUAUGAUCGCAUUUGUCUUCGCAUUGAAAUGUUUUACAUAAUUUCAAUUCAUGGUUUAAUUAAUUUAGAUGCUCUGCAGAGCUUUAUGUUGUUAGAUGAGAACUAUGUAUGUACUUUGGUUUUAAUGUGAUGAUGAACUUCUAUUAAUUUGGUCACUUAAUUAUCUAUUCAUGAUGUUCUGUAAUGAUUUUUGAUGCACUUAAUUAUAUAUAAUGCACGCAGAUGAACCGACAAUGGAUGUACGGUUCAAGACACACCUCCAAGUACAUUAAGGGCAUGCAUGAUUUUCUCGAAGUGGCUGAGGCAAACAAGCAGAAUGGUUUUAUGUGUUGUCCAUGCCCUAUAUGUGGGAAUACGAAGUCUUACUCUGACCGGAAAAUCCUCCACACCCACCUGCUUUACAAGGGUUUCAUGCCACACUAUAAUGUUUGGACGAGGCAGGAAGAAAUAGGGGUUAUGAUGGAAGACGGCGAAGAAGAAGAGUACGAUGACAACUAUGUGCCCCCUGAAUAUGGUGAUGCUACUGAACAUCAAGAGGAACCAGACGAUGUGCACGAUGAUGCUGCAACGGGCGAAGCUGCUGAAGAUCAAGAGGAACCAGACGAUGUGCCCGAUGAUGAUGAUCUCCGCCGGGUCAUUGUCGAUGCAAGGACGCAAUGCGAAAGUCAAAAGGAGAAGUUGAAGUUCGAUCGCAUGUUAGAGGACCACAAAAAAGGGUUGUACCCCAAUUGCGAAGAUGGCAACACAAAGCUCGGUACCGUACUGGUAUUGCUGCAGUGGAAGGCAGAGAAUGAUGUGCCUGACAAAGGAUUUGAGAAGCUACUGAAAAUAUUGAAGAAGAAGCUUCCAAAGGAUAACGAAUUGCCCGACAGUACAUACGCAGCAAAGAAGGUCGUAUGCCCUCUAGGAUUGGAGGUGCAGAAGAUACAUGCAUGCCCUAAUGACUGCAUCCUCUACCGCGGUGCGUACAAGGAUCUGAACGCAUGCCCGGUAUGCGGUGCAUUACGGUAUAAGAUCAGACGAGAUGACCCUGGUGAUGUUGACGGCGAGCCCCUCAGGAAGAGGGUUCCUGCGAAGGUGACGUGGUAUGCUCCUAUAAUACCACGGUUGAAACGUCUGUUCAGAAACGGAGAGCAUGCCAAGUUGAUGCGAUGGCACAGUGAGGACCGUAAGAAAGACGAGAAGUUGAGAGCACUCGCUGACGGGUCGCAGUGGAGAAAAAUCGAGAGAAAGUACUGGGAUGAGUUUGCAAGUGAGCCAAGGAACGUAUGGUUUGCUUUAAGCGCGGAUGGCAUUAAUCCUUUCGGGCAGCAGAGCAGCAAUCACAGCACCUGGCCCGUGACUCUAUGUAUGUAUAACCUUCCUCCUUGGAUGUGCAUGAAGCGGAAGUUCAUUAUGAUGCCAGUUCACAUCCAUGGCCCUAAGCAACCCGGCAACGACAUUGAUGUGUACCUAAGGCCAUUAGUUGAAGAACUUUUACAGCUGUGGAAUGGAAACGGUGUAUGUACGUGGGAUGAGCACAAACAGGAGGAAUUUAACCUAAAGGCGUUGCUGUUCGUGACCAUCAACGAUUGGCCCGCUCUUAGUAACCUUUUAGGACAGACAAACAAGGGAUACCACGCAUGCACGCACUGUUUACUUAACACCGAUAGUUUAUACCUGGCAAGCUGCAGGAAGGAUGUGUACCUGGGCCAUCAUUGAUUUCUUCCGACCAACCAUCAAUGUCGAAAGAAAGGCAAGCAUUUCAAAGGCGAGGCAGAUCACCGGAAGAAGCCCGCCAUGCGUACCGGUGAUCACGUACUUGCUAUGGUCAAUGAUUUACACGUAAUCUUUGGAAAGGGUCCCGGCAGACUAGCUGUUCCGAGUGACGCUGGGGGACACGCACCCAUGUGGAAGAAGAAAUCUAUAUGUUGGGACCUACCCUACUGGAAAGACCUAGAGGUCCGCUCUUCGAUCGACGUGAUGCACGUGACGAAGAACCUUUGCGUGAACCUGCUAGGCUUCUUGGGCGUGUAUGGGAAGACAAAAGAUACAACUGAGGCACGGGAGGACCUACAACAUUUGCACGAAAAAGACGGCAUGCCUCCAAAGCAGUAUGAAGGUCCUGCCAGCUAUGCUCUUACCAAAGAAGAGAAGGAAAUCUUCUUUGAAUGCCUGCUUAGUAUGAAGAUCCCGACUGGCUUCUCGUCGAAUAUAAAAGGAAUAAUAAAUAUGUUAGAGAAAAAGUUUCAGAACCUAAAGUCUCAUGACUGCCACGUGAUUAUGACGCAACUGCUUCCGGUUGCAUUGAGGGGGCUUCUACUGGAAAACGUCCGAUUAGCCAUUGUGAAGCUAUCUUCAUUCCUCAAUACAAUCUCUCAGAAGGUGAUCGAUCCAGAAAUCAUACCAAGGCUAAGGAGUGAUGUGGUGCAAUGUCUUGUCAGUUUCGAGCUGGUGUUCCCACCAUCCUUCUUCAAUGUCAUGACGCACGUCCUAGUUCAUCUAGUUGACGAGAUUGUCAUUCUGGGCCUCGUAUUUCUACACAAUAUGUACCCCUUUGAGAGGUUCAUGGGAGUCCUAAAGAAAUAUGUCCGUAACCGCGCUAGUCCAGAAGGAAGCAUCUCCAUGGGCCAUUAAACAGAGGAUGUCAUCGGGUUUUGUGUUGACUUCAUUCCUGGCCUUAAGAAGAUAGGUCUCCCUAAAUCACGGUAUGAGGGGAGACUGACUGGAAAAGGCACGCUUGGAAGGGAAUCAAUAAUAUGCAGGGACGGAUAUUCUUGGUCUCAAGCACACUACACAAUUCUACAGAACUCUACCUUGGUGACCCCGUAUGUCGAUGAACACAAUAACAGACUGCGCUCCAAACACCUGGAGCAGUGCGACGACUGGAUUACAUGUGAACACAUCAGGACUUUCAGCAGUUGGUUGGAAGCACAUAUCAGAGGUGACAACACUAUUUGUGAUGAGCUGUACUUGUUGUCCAGGGGACCAUCUUUGACUGUAUUGAUUUGGAAAGGAUACAAGAUAAACGGGAAUACAUUUUACACGAUUGACCAAGAUCAAAAGAGCACCAACCAAAACAGCGGUGUCCACUUUGAUGCAACAACCGAGAGGGGAAAGGACACACAUUAUGGUUACAUAGUGGACAUAUGGGAACUUGACUACGGACAUGAUUUUAAGGUCCCUUUGUUUAAGUGUAAAUGGCUCAAUCUGUCACGAGGAGGGGUACAGGUAGACCCACAGUACGGAAUGACAACAGUGGAUCUGAAAAAUCUUGGGUACACUGACGAAUCGUUCGUCCUAGCCAAUGAUGUGGCAUAGGUUAUCUAUGUGAAGGACAUGUCUACCAGACCGAGAAAGAGAAAAGAUAAGGAAGCGAAUACAUCAUACGAUGAGCCAAAGCGCCACGUAGUUCUUUCAGGAAAAAGGGACAUCGUGGGAGUGGAGGACAAGACAGACAUGUCUGAAGAUUAUGAAAAGUUUCAUGAAAUUCCUCCCUUCAAAGUCAAGGCUGACCCCAGCAUCCUGAUAAACGAUGAAGAUUAUCCAUGGUUACGGCGCAAUAAGCAAAUGACACAAGCGAAGAAAAAGUGAAGACUUUCUCCCGCAAAUAUUAUGAUGAUACCAUGCCAACUUUGUAACAGACGAGUAUGAUACCAUUAUCCGUUUUGUAUAUGCACAUGCUAUGUGGGUCAAUUUAUGAUACCAUGCCAACUUUCAACUUUUUCAGAGUUCAUUUGAAAUGCUUUAAUGUCUUAUGGUUCGGCCCUCGUAAUAAUUAAAAAUAGCAACAAUAAGUAUUUUGUUGUAAGUAGAAACAAAAUAAAAUAAAUAAAGCAAGAAAGAAAACAAAAAAACAAAAAAAGUGUUUUCAAAUUUGAAAACUAAUGGCACUAACANNNNNNNNNNNNNNNNNNNNNNNNNNNNNNNNNNNNNNNNNNNNNNNNNNNNNNNNNNNNNNNNNNNNNNNNNNNNNNNNNNNNNNNNNNNNNNNNNNNNNNNNNNNNNNNNNNNNNNNNNNNNNNNNNNNNNNNNNNNNNNNNNNNNNNNNNNNNNNNNNNNNNNNNNNNNNNNNNNNNNNNNNNNNNNNNNNNNNNNNNNNNNNNNNNNNNNNNNNNNNNNNNNNNNNNNNNNNNNNNNNNNNNNNNNNNNNNNNNNNNNNNNNNNNNNNNNNNNNNNNNNNNNNNNNNNNNNNNNNNNNNNNNNNNNNNNNNNNNNNNNNNNNNNNNNNNNNNNNNNNNNNNNNNNNNNNNNNNNNNNNNNNNNNNNNNNNNNNNNNNNNNNNNNNNNNNNNNNNNNNNNNNNNNNNNNNNNNNNNNNNNNNNNNNNNNNNNNNNNNNNNNNNNNNNNNNNNNNNNNNNNNNNNNNNNNNNNNNNNNNNNNNNNNNNNNNNNNNNNNNNNNNNNNNNNNNNNNNNNNNNNNNNNNNNNNNNNNNNNNNNNNNNNNNNNNNNNNNNNNNNNNNNCAAGUAGGCCCGAAAGCCUGCGGUGGAGAGGAGCUCGAGAGGGGUGCGGCAGUGGGGCUUAUAAACCACUGCGCGCCCCUCUCAACUAGCGAGGUGGGACUAAACUUUGGCCCCGAGGCGGGCAGCACAGGGGCCUUUGGUCCCGGUUGGUGGCACCAACCGGGACUAAAGGGGGAGGCAUUGGUCCCAGUUGGUGGCACCAACCGGUACUAAAGGCCGCCGGUUCCCGCCCUUUGGGCUGCCGAAAAAGAGGCCUUUGGUCCCAGUUGGUGGCACCAAUCGGGACUAAAGGGUGCAUUAGUCCCGGUUGGUGCCACCAACCGGGACUAAAGGGUUUUCUAUAUAAGCAACACUUAGCAGUUUCUGGCCAAAUCGCCCACUUCUCCCCCGACGCCCCCUGCUCCUCCUCGUCGCCGUCGCCGCCCGACGCCCCUGCUCCACCUUGCCGUCGCCGCCGCCACCGACGCCGUCAGGCUGCUCGCCUGAGCCGUCGCCGCCGCCCCCUGUGAGCAUNNNNNNNNNNNNNNNNNNNNNNNNNNNNNNNNNNNNNNNNNNNNNNNNNNNNNNNNNNNNNNNNNNNNNNNNNNNNNNNNNNNNNNNNNNNNNNNNNNNNNNNNNNNNNNNNNNNNNNNNNNNNNNNNNNNNNNNNNNNNNNNNNNNNNNNNNNNNNNNNNNNNNNNNNNNNNNNNNNNNNNNNNNNGCGCCGCCGCCCCUGCCUUGCGCGGCCGCCGUGCGCCACCCCGCCGCUCCUGCAAUUUCCAUAGCAAUUUUUUGCAUUUUUUUGUGUAUAUGUAUUUGUAUGUGUAUAUAUAUAUGUGUACAUGUUCAUAGUAUUUUUUUCAUAAGUGUAUUUUUUUGUUCAUUGCAUUUUUUUCAUAUAUAUAAUGUAUAUAUGUAUGUGGUAGCUAUAUAUAUGAUGAAUGGAUGUGGCUAUAUAUGUAUGUAUGAAUAUAAUGUUCAUAGCAUUUUUUGUUUAUAUAUGUUUUUUCAUAUAUGUAUUAAUAUUUUAUUUAGGUUGUUAGUAGAUAUCGAUUUUAGGUUAGUGCAUUUUAGGUUAGUGUAGAGGAGAAAGUAAAAUAAGGAAAAGGAAGAAAAGAGGAAGAAGGAAGAAGGAAGAAGAAGAAGAAAAAGAAUGAGAGGAAAAAGGAAAAUAAGAAGAGGAAGAAGAGGAGAGGAAGAAGAGGAGAAAUAAAUAAGAAGAGGAAAAAAGAAGAAAAAGAAGAGGAGAAGAAGAAAGGAAUAGAGGAGAAGAAGAAAAAAUAGAAAUUGUUUUCUAUUUUUUCUUCUUCUCCUCUAUUCCUUUCUUCUUCUCCUCUUUUUUUUUCUUCUUCCUUCUUCCUUCUUCCUCUUUUCUUCCUUUUCCUUAAUUAUUUUCCUUUCUCGUCAUUGUCAUGUCGUUGUCGAUAUAACCCCCUUGAGAUAACUUCGACAUGAGGGGCGGUCGAUAUAUAUACCCCCUCUCGACCGUGAUAACUUAUACAACGGCAGCACCCCCCCUCGGCCCACUCGCUCAACCAAAACUCUCGAGGACACACAAACCCUAGAGAGAAAACGAUGUUGGUCUCCUACCCCCUCCCGCUGCGCCCCUACCCGACAAAUUAACUCUCUCGAGGCCACCCAAAUUUACCAAGUUAAAAGAGCGUUGUCGUCGAGGCCACCCCAAACCCUUGAAGCGUUGUGUCGAGGCGACCCCAAACCCUAGAGAAGCAGCGUCGAGGCCACUAACAUGAUUCCUUAUUGUGACUAGCUAGCUAGUUCUACGUUUGCCACUAAUGUAUAUAUAUAUAUCCAUCUGUACCAUGUUUGAAUAAUAAUUGACAUGUUGUAAAUAUUUGCAGAAACUAUGGAGCACUCCCGAGACGAAGAAACAGAAGCGAUGUUGGGGGACAUAAUCGCAAAUGGAAGUGAUGAAGUUGCAUCAUUUCUCCUCGACAUCGAUGGACAGCUAGAAGAACUGGGUGAAGAAGAGGGCUAUGUUCAUGAUGGCUUCGGCCCAUUAAUGCCGGUACAAGAAGAGGACUAUGUUCAUGAUGGCUCCGGUGACACAAUGGAGGUACAAGAAGGAGACCGUGCUGACUGCUCUGGUGACCGAACCGAGUCAGGCCAGGUAUAUAUAUAUUAGUUAAGCCCGUGCUGACUAGUUAAUUGAUGCUUCCAUUGUUUUGGUAUAUGUACACAUAUUAAUUACUCUCGUCUUUCUUCCUUAUAAUUUCUAGCCCUCCGGAUCGAACACAACUUCGGUAAGGAGACGAGGCCCGAAGAAAAAGUUGAGCUCGGAUGAAAAGUUUGAGAUCAUAGAAAUCACGCCCGACGGCGAACCGAUUGAACCCAUCCGGACAAGGAAGGCAUUUUCUGCUCAGUGCGGGGUUCUUGUUAGGGACAAGAUCCCGAUCAGCAUCCAGCAACGGUAUAAGCCUAAGGAGGAAGACCCUGAGGUGUCUUCUGUCAAUGAUAUGCAGAAAGAAGAUCUUUGGACUGAGCUGAAGGCAAAUUUCACCCUACCGCCAGAGGAGGAUCCAGAGAAGCCAGUUAAAGAGCCAUUAAUCAAGUCUUGUGCUCUUAAGAAGAUGGCAACCCUAAUGAGGAGGUGGAGGAAAGAGCUGAACCAGUUUGUCAAAAAAAAGACACCAGAAUUCAUCGGCAAAUAUGAGAAGAUCAAAGAUCACUGGCCCGCAUUUGUGGCCCACAAGACAUCGGAAAAGAGUAAGAAGAUGUCGGUGACAAACAAGAAAAAUGCUGCAAAGAAGAAGCUUCACCAUCGCACGGGGUUAGGUGGCUACCUCAAAGCGCGGCCUAAGUGGUCCAAGGCUGAGCAUGAUCUGCUCCGGCGCGUCGUACUCCUUCUCCUCCGCCUCGUAAGCAAGCACGAAAGAAGACAGACGCCGCAGCCGCUCCGUCUGCUCCGACGUCUAGCAGCACAACCAGAGGCGGGAGGCAAUACAAAUACGGUCCAUCUCUCAAGCCUCUAGAGAAGUUACCGUAUGAGAGGUCCGAAGAGGAAAAUGAUACGAUUGUGCGGACCCAUGUGAAGGAUUUCUUUGAAGGGGUGAAAGCAAAGAGACAUCCACCUCCGAAGGAGAAGGUAGAUCCGGUGAAAGCAAAGCGCACUAUCGAUGCCCUGAGGAAACCACCAAAGUCUCCGCCGAGAACCAACUAUGAGCGCAUUACUGAACAGACAUAUCUCCAAGCCCAGCGGUAGGGAACUACUGUCAGUGAUAAAAGGUUAAAAGAACGAGCAAAGGGGAAAAAAUUGCCCAGCUCGGCGAACAAGCACAGCAAUCAUGCCCCCCGCUCAAUGUGUCUAAUGCUUCGGGGACGGUGGCCGGUUAUGAAAAUCUUGAAGAUUACCUGCCUGACGAUGCACUUCCUGAUUUCAUGGCGGUGGACGAACACAGAUACGAGUACGGAAAGCCUCUCGUCAAAGAUGAAAAAUCUCUGACAACAAUGAUGCGAAGAUUCCAUAGUUGGUACAUGAAAACCUGCAGAGAGUCUGAGGCGACGAACAGUUUGUAUCUGAACAUUAAAGAGGAGCACGACCUCGUUUCAAAUGAUCUGUUGUGUGUUCCAUUUGAUGAGUUCUUUCUUCAAUCAAAAGGCCCUCGAUAAAUUAAUGGUCUUUUGCUACUGCCUGUAAGUACUAUUUCUGUCAUUAAGUCUCUAUAUAUAGCUCUGCUCUUUCAUUGCAUGUAUUUAUAAUUAAUUAUCCUCAAUAUAUUAUGCAGAUUGAAGAUCGUCGAGUGCAAAAAACAAGAAAUUUAUGAUAUUGGGUUCAUUAACACAAAUAUCAUAGAUGUAUUUCUGGUUGAAAAGAACGUCAAAGAGGCCGAGGACAACUUGCUACGAUCGUUGAUCAAAAAUCAAAACAAAGAUAACAUACUCUUUCCUUACAACGGCAAGUGAGUGUUACUGUCGUGUAAAUAUUCGGUUUCCCUUAUUACUCGAGCGAGGUUAUAGUAAUGUAAUUGAUGAGUUAUGCAUGCGUGCGCAGGUACCACUAUAUUCUUCUGGAGAUUAAGCUUGAGCGGGGACUAGUAACCGUCUUAGACUCGAGAUGUAAAGAUCCCGAAACCUAUGCGGACAUGACUGAAAUGCUCAGCAAGUAAGUUCAAUCGAUCAUUAUCGCACCAUAUCGGCAACUUUUUGUUCAUUUCCUGAUAUCUCAAGUAAUAAUAAUUAUUUUCUUUGUCUUGCAGGGUUUGGAAACAGUUCACCGCAGAAGCUCCGGGACUGCCGAAGGAGCUGCGAUAUACAUACCCGAAAGUAAGUACUACUGGGCUAGCUAGUUGCGCGCAUCUCCCGUUGAUUCUAUAGCUAUACUUUCAUCAAUGCCAUUUAUAAUGCUUCAUUAUUAGUUUGAUUGACCUCUAUUUCUCGUAAAAUGCUUGUGGCAGGAGGAAGGGAAUGAUUUCUGUGAAUACUACGUGUGUGAGUUCAUCCACACUACGACUUUGAAAAACAAACGGGGCUAUUCUAAAAGACAAUAUGAAGUGCAUAAGCAAUAAUAUUCACAAUUUCAUUUUAUUACACCAUCAUUUCUGUUGAGUUUCAUUCAUAUAUGUAUUAAUUAACCCCUUUCUUCAAAUUAGACGUGGCAGAUGCGGAAUGAACUCCUAGAACCAGAUCGCAUGAAAGCAAUUCAAUAGGAAUUAGCGGGAUUCUUUCUUGACCACGUCAUCAGUAAAGCCGGAGAAUACCAUGUGGAAAUUGAUUUCAAAUGCUAGGGGUUUGUAAUUAAGAGAUCUUAUACAUAUUGUACAUGUGUGUAGCCAGUAGCGUCGGAUACAUGAUACGAAAACUUGUUGUUCGACCAAUCUCUCAGAGAAGGAGAGGUCGAUCGAUCACUUCUCUUGGUAUGCAUGACGAACUUCUGUACUGAAUGGUUCUCUCGAUCACUUAUGUAUAUAUAGUAUGUAGCGUCGAUCAAGCAUGGACAUAAGAGAGGACACUUCUCUCUAUUAAUUAGCUAGCUAACACAAUAUAUGAAACACCUAAAUUAACCCCCCAAAACACCCAACCCCCCUCCUUUCAAAAAAAAUAAAAACCCCAGCCACUGGAAUGCUGACGCGUGGAUGCAUUUUGGUCCCGGUUGAAGCCACCAACCGGGACCAAAGGCCCCCUGACUGGGCUCGGCGCACAGGGCCACGUGGAGGCAUAUUGGUCCCGGUUCGUGUUUGAACCGGGACUAAUGGGUGGAGGUAUUAGUAACGACCCAUUAGUCCCGGUACAUGAACCGGGACUAAAGGCCCUUACGAACCGGGACUAUUAGGUGUUUUUCUACUAGUGUAUGUAGUCCACCAUCUCCGGAUCAGAGACGGGACGGCCAGUAGCAGCUAGUUCAUCCCCGAGACUCUUCAUCUUCGCCAUGUAUGCUGAACUGGACAUGGUGCCUUUUUUGGUGUUGGUGAUCGCAAUCCUCAGAUUGGUAAUCCGAGACUGCGAUUGUGAGGCGAAGAGGUUGUUGAUUGUUGUCCAGAGCUUGAAGGUGGAGUCCCUCCCGACGACCUGUGCAAGGAUCUCAGGAGACAUGGAGUUGAGCAGAUAUGACAUAACCUGUUGAUCUUUGGCGAUCCAAGGUCCAUACAAAGGAUUCGGCUCUUGGGCCGUAGUUUUGUCCGCCUUUGGGACCUCCACCAUCUUCGGCGGAGCGGUGUCAGAGUGGUCCAGCAGCCCGGUAACCUGCGCACCUCGCAGGGCUGGGAGAACCUGCGUCUUCCAGAGGAUGAAGUUUCCUCUCGCAAGUUUUUCCGACGGAGGCGAACCAAGGUUCAGGGCAACGCCGACUGAGGAAGCCAUGACGGCGAUCGCGGAUAUGAUCUAGGGUUUUGUUUUCUGGUUUGUGGCUAGAUGUAUGGAAGAGGGGCUCUGAUGACCAUGUAAAGUUAUGAAGCGUUCCUACUCCCAUCGAGGGGAGCCGCAGCUGUAUAUAUUGAUGUGGGCAGGCGAUGCCUUGGUUUACAAGAUAGAGUUACAAGAGUUUGAAAGGGAUACAAGAAAGGAAGAGGUUGAGAUUACAUAAACUCUAACACACAGAUAUUUUAGCCUCUAUUGGGAUCAGAUAUAGCCAAUAACUGAUAUUCUAGCCUCUGUUUGUGAUGUUGGUUUCGUCUAAUAAUGUUGUGAUGAUUCAAAUUUGGCGAUCUCCACAACAGUGAAACUAAUUUUUAUUGCUCGAGUCAUACAAAGUCGCAGAUAUCAAUUUGAUGGCUUUUCCAUGUCCUGCAGGUAUCAGAGUUACGUUUCGGUGGCUGAGAUGAAGAAGUGGCUCGUUUGAUGCGAUGCACACGGAAAUUUACCCCUUAUGUAGAAUGCAGUGGUCAGAUGUGAAGUGGAUUCGUAGGAACUAAUCACUUAUUUUGCUCAAACCCGUCUUGUUAUCGAACGCAGUCAAUUGGCCAACUUACAUGGAGACAUAAGAAUUGCUUGUAUUAAUCAGUACCUUCCAGUUGAUCUUUGCUUGCAUGCAUUCUGUGUGUGUUCAUAUUUUUACUGUUUUGUUUUGCUUGUUGUUCCACGUUGUAUCUGACGGAGAGGAUUCGGCAUCAAAUUUCUGCUCCUGUCCCAUUUUGCGUGUUUGUUUUUUAUCUGUUUUCUGACUGAUCAAUGUUGAGUUGCUUGCUUUCGCUGGAUUCAGGAAGGUUUGUGUGAGAUUGCUAAUGUUUUAACCUGUUAUGAUAUAAACAUGCCACUUUGAGAUCUGCAAAACUUCACACAAGUGAUGCGCGGACGCGCGGAAACACAUUUUAUUGAUUUGUUUGGCAAUCACAGCCGUUCAACAUGAUACGACCCCAUGAUCCACUGGCCAUUCAGCUCCUUAUUUGGCAGGUUGCUGCUGGGCGUUAAACCAGGCCCCACCUCCUGUGGCACUCGUGCUUACAAGCCGCAGCGCCUUCUGCAUCUGCAAAAUGGCCAACGCGAGCACAAGAUCAUCAGCUAGAACAGACGAUUCUUCUUUGUGUCAACAGAAAAAGGAGAGACCAUGUAUAUUGCAUCGAUGUUGAGGAGAAUUCAUCCAUAAACGGAGCAGAAAUGCAAUGCAAGUAAGGUGACCCGUCGUCAUCUUACCGGUGGGCGCCGCCGACGGGCCGCAGACGGAGUCGGUGCUGCAGACCCAGAGGCAGGCGGCGCGGCUCUCCUCGGGGUAGCCUUCUUCCUUGCAUUUCUGGAUGCAGUCGACUUUGCAGAUCCAUCCGCUGCGGCUGCACCCGUCGUGGCAGGGCUGGUAGCACUCGCAGAAGGUCUCGGCGGCCGCCCGCUGCUGGGGCGGCACUGACAUGACGAGGAGCACGCACAGUGCGGCAAUGGCGGCCGCCCUCUUCUUCACCUCCAUGAUCUCCUUUCCUUGGACGUGCAAGCUAUGAGAAGGGUGGAGUGUGAAGUUGUGGCGGACGAGUGUUGGGGUUCAGCCUUUGUCCGUUAUAUGGGUGCGUGAUGUAUGCAUGGGUAGUGAGAAGAUACACGUGUUUCAUGCCGGUACCACGUUGUGUCAAAUGUUCGACCCGGCUGACAACUGGUUUGGUGGGACGGUAAAUGUAACUGGCCAGGACAAAUCAACUGAAAACUGCACACGUAAGGUUGAGGGGAGUAGUUGGCAACUCGUUCGGUGGGGACGAUAAAUGUAGCUCACAUUAGAACAUUAUUUUGAAACAACACAUGUCAGGACGAGAUUUAGUUGGCAAGUGGUUCGAUGGGGAUGGUAAAUGUUGCUCACACUAGAACAUUAUUUUGAAACAACACAUGUCAGGACGACGAGGUUUAGUUGGCAACUGGCUCGAUGUGGAUGGUAAAUAUAGUUGGCACAUGUGAGGAUGAUACCUGUGAGGACGAGGUUGAUGAUCAACAAGUUCAGUGGGGACGAUAAAUGUAGCUGGCACCAGGACAUUAAUGCAAUGUCAGGACAAGAUAGAUGGCAACUGGUUAGGUAGCGAUGGUAAAUGUAGCUGGCAUCAGGACACUAAUUUGAAACGGCACAAGUCACGACAAGGUAGCUGACAAAUGGUUUGGUGAGGAUGAUAAAUCUUUCCUACUUAUAAAGGUUGGAGUCGAUGACGAGUUCACAUGUGAGACCAACAAUCUUCACAAAUAAACAAAUGUAUUUCUAUCCACGUUGUCUAUUCUUAUAUGUUUCAUAAUUUGAAACGUUGUGUCUGUCCAAGGACCUGCUAUGCUCACUUGAGAUUCUCUACUGCCCAGGUGUGAUCUUUUGUUAUAUUUUUGCUCAUUUUAAUAGUGACCAGCGAAUAAUGGUUGCAUGAUGCCAAUAUAUUUCUACGAUUUUCUAAACUAGUGACCUAACUACUCGAAUUCUAGAGUUUCGUAGCAACGCACGGGUAUUGGGCUAGUGAAAGUAAAAAUACUAGUUAAGGGUGCCCCUCACAAAGGCCACUCCUACCUUCUCUGGUGGUGACAAUUAGUACACUGCAUGUGCAAUAUGAGAAGGGAAGAGAAGGGAAAGGGAGCUGUUGUGGAGUGCGAAGUUUUUUUUUGAGCAAACACAGUGGGGAAAACCCCCACUGUAACUCUGAUUUUCAUUAAUAUGAGAACACAUGUUACAUCACUGUACAAGUUUUAGCAUGACAGGAAGAAAAAAUCUACAAGUAAUCUAGCCAGCUCUGCAUCCCUUCUUUCAAACUAGGUUUGGCUUUCUUAAUGAUCAUCUCAAUGUGCUCCUUGAAAGUACUAAUGCAGUAAUGCAUAUUUUUGGGUUUGUGAUCAAAGAUGAUGAUGUUCCUGUGCUUCCAAAUACUCCAACAUCCUGCAAUAAGGCAUUCCUUAUAACAUACAACAUUAUUGUGUCUCUUGCCCUCCCUUAGCAUCUCCAUAAGCUCAUAGUUUGUAUUCCAUUGAAAUCCAAUUGCCAUCCAGAAAUUCUGGCUGAAAUCACAUCUAAAGAAUAGGUGAGUAAGGUAUUCCUUUGGUUCAUCAUCACAUAGCACACAUCUUGCAGACUCAAUAUGGAAAAAAAUUCUUGUAAGCAAAUCUCUAGUAUUUAGUCUGUCCUGUAGAAGUAACCAGAAGAAAAACUUUUGCUUAGCUAAGGUGCAAGAUUUCCAUAUCCACUGAAAUGGUUUGGGGGCAUCAGCAGGGUUCCCAAUAUAUUCUAGGUAUAUUCGUUUGUUGGAAUAUUUAGGGCCACCCCAGUAAAAUUUCCAUGAAUCCUUCUCUGCCUGGUUCCCUCUAUCAUUGAUCAGAGCCCUUAGCUGAUUACUCUGUUGGACAACAAUGUUGGACAUAGGGAUCUGAAACAUAUAAAAAUUGAGAUCAUCCAGAUUUGUGGCAGCCUCCAGAGUGAUGCGUUCAUUUUUUGUAUAGGAGAAAAGUUGAGCCAUCAUGCUCCUUAUUGGCCGAGAGUACCAAUUAUCAUGCCAUAGAUUAAUUGUGUUGCCAAUUCCUGCAGAGCAAAUUGUCAUGUUUUUGUAAUCUUGGAGAAUAGAGCAACAGUCUCUCCACCAAAAAGAUCCUACAAGUGUGGGAAAUUUUGGCAAAUCACCAUUGUGAUAGUAAUUGCACCAUAUCAAAUUAACCUAGGGGGUAUAAUUUCUGUUGAAGAAUUUAUAGAAGUACUUGGUAAGUAAAGCCCUAUUUUGCAUUCUAAGAUCUAGUACACCUAAACCUCCUGCUUUUUUUGGUAGGCAGAAUUUCUCCCACUUAACCAAGCAAUUCCCAUGUUUGUUGAUCCCCUUCCCAUACCAAAGGAAGCUUCUCCCUGAUUUCACAAAGUGAUCUAGAAUGGUGAAAGGCACUCUGAUACAACACACGGCAAAUAUAGGCAAAGCAGAUACAAUGGCUUUAAGAUGUGUGAGUCUACCUGAGCAUGUUAUCAGGUUUGCAAUGCCAGAUAAUCUGUGGUCCAAUCCAAAUACCAUUGGCAUGAGAUCAAUGACUUUAGGUCUUGUAGUACCCAUAGGUAAACCUAGGUAAGUAAAAGGCAUGGAUUCCUUUUUGCAUUUAAGAAUGUCAGCUAAUUCUUGAGCUCCAUCUUUAAAAAUGCUGAUUGGAACAAGAGAAGAUUUGCUAUAAUUAACAAUAAGCCCAGUGAACCUAGAAAAGAUGUCCAGUAUCUCUAUGAAUUUGUUAAUUUGAUCCUCAUCAGCAAGCAAUAUGACAAGAGUGUCAUCAGCAUAUUGGAUAAUGGGGUAACUUUCAGUGUUAUUGGUGUCAAUAGGUAAACUAACCACACCAUUUCUCCAAGCUUCAUUGACUAGUAUUUGCAAUAAUUCUCCGACCAGAACAUAUAACAGAGGGGGAAAUGGGUCCCCUUGUCUGACACCACAUUUGCAAUGAAUGUUUUUCCCAGGCACACCAUUUAGAAUAACAGAAGUGGAAGCAGUAGUCAAUAUCAUGUUGACCCACCUAAUCCAUUUGUCACUAAAUCCAAAAUGCCUCAUCAUAAAUAAAAUAGCAUUGUUGUUUACUUUGUCAAAUGUUUUCACAAAGUCAAUCUUGAAGAUGAUGAUUUCCUCUUUUGAUUUGUGAUACAUGUGGAUGUAUUCAAAGCUCCAACCUAGACAAUCCUGAAUGUUCUUGGUUAUAAUAAAUCCAUACUGAUUUUUGCUAACCCUAGGCAAAAUAACUAGCUGAGCUCUGUUGGCCAGUAAUUUUGUGAGAAUUUUGAUAGGCAUAUUCACUAGGGAGAUGGGCCUAAAGUCAUUAGGUGUUUCAGGGUUGUCCUUUUUAGGGAUAAGGGCAAUAAAAGCAGUAUGGAUAGGUUGCAGAGAAAUAGACUCUUGAUGAAAGUCAUUAAUGAAUCUAUAGAAACAAUGCUUGAUGAUGUGCCAACAUUUUUCAUAAAUAAUCCAUUAAAUCCAUCAGGUCCAGGUGAGUUGUCAUUGUGCAUGUCCUUAAUAACCUCAUCAAUUUCCUCAGAUGAAAAAGGCUUGUCUAGUUCUGAAGUUAUAUUAUCCAUUCUCAAAUGAGAUAUAUCAAAAUCCAUAAAACAUUCAGUCUGGGUACCAAUUCUCUCCUUAAAGGAGGCCCAGAUUAAGGCAGCCUUUUGGUCAUGAUCAUAACUGCAUUGACCAUCAAAGGAAGGAAAGUGAUAUAAUUGUGCCUGAAUACCUGAGAUGCAAUAGCAUGAAAGAACUUAGUAUUUUCAUCACCAAGUUUUGCCCAUCUGAUGUUUGCUCUAAUUCUCCAGUACAAUCUUUUUUCCUCCAAUAGUUUAUUAGUAUGGUUGAUGAGGAUUUUCCUGAAGUUCACCUCCCUCCUGGUAAGUAAUCUUUGAUCUUCUAAAACAUCAAUAAGCUUAACAUAAAGGCAACAGUUUUCAAUGGUUUUCCUGAGCUGUGAGAAUUUCUUACUCCACAUUUUGAGUCCUCUCCUAAGUGCCUUAAACUUGGCAUUCAGAUGCUUGGCAGAGUCAGAAAAGUGUAUAGAGUUGCACCAAUGGUUCUCAACUACAUCAAUGAAACCAUUAAAUUCAGUCCAGAACUCCUCAAAUCUGAAGAUGUUGCUCUUGGGGCUGUUACUGUCAAUCAUAAUUUUGAUGGGAACAUGGUCAGAUGAGAUCUUUGCCAAAGGGAUUGCCAUUGUAGAGGGAUGCACAGUAGUCCAGUGGGAGCUUAUGAAUACCCAAUCCAACUUUUCUAAUAGUGGAUUGUCCUGUUUAUUACUUCAUGUAAAAGAUCUUCCUUUCAAUGGUAUUUCUACUAAGUCAAGGUUUAUGAUGAUAUUAUUGAAGAGCAUCAUGCUGUUUGGGUCACCUCCUAGCUUGUUUCUGUUAUCAGGUCCUUCUGAUGAAGUUGAAAUCCCCCAAUAUCAUCGAUAAUUUGCUCUGAUUGAUGUUAAGAUUCUGCAACCAAGUCACAAAUUCCAGUUUGCCAUCCACAGAGUUAGGACCAUACAUCUUUGUGACAUACCAACAACUAUUAUCCAAAUUAGAAGUGAAUUUGAUAGUAAUGUGGAAAUAGUUACUAGAUAUGACCUCACCCUUGAACAUGUUGCCAUUCUAAAUAGUAAUUAAACCACCUGAAUUACCAGUAGAUGGAGAGAAACAGUAUUGAUUGAAUCUCUUGGGACAUAAAUUCUUAAUGUAAGAAAGAUCAAAGCUGUCUCUUUUGGUUUCUUGGAAGGUCAUAAUGCAACAAGCACUUUCAUCAAUUUUCUGCCUAAUGUCAUCCCAUCUAGCAGAAGAAUUAAUCCCUCUAACAAUCCAGUUUAAUAUAUUCCAACUUCUAUUCAUGACUGACAUGUAAUGGUAGAGCUUUGUUCAUACUAUGAGUAGCAUAGCAUGAUAAAUCCUUGUCUACAUAAUGACAGUUUUGAGUGGACUUAUACUGGUAACAACUGCAAAAGACUGUUGUUCUAAGUAACAUAACUUGAGCAUGAAAAUCCACAAAGCCCACAAGUGCGAAGUUGUGGCCGAUGAGUGUUGGGGUUCAGCCUUUGUCCCUUAUAUGGGUGCGUGAUGUAUGCAUGGGUGGUGAGAAGAUACACGUGUUUCACGUCGGUGCCACGUUGCGUCAAAUGUUCGACCCGGCUGACAACUGGUUUGGUGGGACGGUAAAUGUAACUGACACGAGGACAUCAAUUGAAAACUGCACAUGUAAAGUUGAGGUGGUUAUUUUGAUAAAUGUAGUUAGCACCAGCACAUUAAUUUGAAACGGCAAUGUCAGGACAAGAUAGCUGGCAACUGGUUAGGUAGGAAUGAUAAAUGUAGCUGCACCAGGACAUUAAUUUAAAGUGAUACAUGUCACGGCAAGGUAGCUAGCAACUGAUUUGGUGGGAAUCCCAUCUCUAAUGGUGACAAGUGUUGCACUGCAUGUCCACACUGGUGGAAGUUUCAACUAUGCUUCACGCGAAAGCACACCUAUGCUUCCCUUUUGAGGAAGCACAAUAUCAGAACUUGGAAGCACAUCUAUGCUUCACAAUUGAGAAGAACAGAAUCACUAGUGUGCUUUACCUGAAAGCACAUCUAUGCUCCAUUUAUGAGGAAGCACAAAAACGUACUUCACUUUUGGAGAAACAUAAUUGGGCUUUCACUUGAAAAACAUAACUAUGCUUCACGCGAGAGCGCACCUAUACUUCCCUUUUGAGGAAACAUCAAAUCAGAACUUGAAAGCACAUCUAUGUUCACAAUUGAGAAGAACAGAAGCGCUAUUAUGCUUUACACGGGAGCACAUCUAUGCCCAUUUUUGAGGAAGCACAAAAGCAUAACCUUUUCUAAGGGCGGCAAAAGCAUAACUUUGCUUGACACAAAUGCACACACUCCUACCAAACAUAAAACAGAAAAUAAAUGAGAAAAAACAAACCCCCAUAGAACAAUAAAAGCCGCCCCCAAAAAGGGAAGUGUCAGCGCAUGACGCGUGGCGGCGCCGCAGUGCUCCCGUGCCAUGGAGACUGCUCGCUGAAAGCCCCUCCCAUGGGUGCACCUAUGGGUUAGUUGCCCCAAGAGGGUGUGUUGAAUAAUCAGUACAUCCCUCCGGGCAACCCACAUUGUGCCAAUUUAUUUGCCAUGUCGCUCGCCAAACUAACAUUGCCCCCGAUCUUGAGCGCCUUACCAGCCCAAAGAUCUCUUCUUCGACUGGACUGUGUUGGAGACGAGCAACGAUGGGGUGUUUCCUCCGGAGCGCAGUGGCGAUUCCACUAGGGGGGCUUCAAUAGGCUGAAGCCUACCCUCCAAAUAUCCUAUUUCAACUAUACAUACUAGUUGACAAUUUUACUAAGGUGUUUAACAUGUAAAUUGCAAUGCAUUUGCUAAUUAGAUUUAGAAACUUGAUGUUUUGAGCCUACCCUUCAAUUUAGUGCUAGAUUCGCCAUUGCCGGAGGGUAACCAUGCUUUUCAUUCGUUGUAGUGUAGCAUGCGAUGUAGCUUGAGCUAUGGUAAUCUACAUAUCAAAGGGAGAUGUAGCUUGAGCUAUGGUAAUCUGCAUAUCCAGUGUUUUCACGUCCCACGCGGCAACAGCGUAACGUAGUGGUCGGACCCUUCCCCUCACAUUACGGGCAAUAUGGCAGCGUCCCCAACUGCGGCAAGCAGCACAUGCAAGUCGUACACACACCCACAUGAUUGCGUCCUCCAGUUCUUCCUUUAAGUCGUACAUGGUCUAGGGUUUGCUUGCAGCAACACUAUUCUGGCUGGUCACACGUGAUGAUUGGAUCCGCACGAUCAGAUGGCGUGCUAGGAGGUUUAUUUGUGUCAGACGAAAUUCAAUCGGUUAAAGAAAACGUUUUUCAAAUUGGCCAUCACUAGUAGGAAACAGGGCAUUACUCCCGGUUCCAGAGGGCCUUUAGUCCCGAUUCUGGAACCGAGACAAAACAGACAGGACUAAUGCCCAAGGUAUUCCUUCAGUACCCUUUGGCCCCCCUUCGUGAGUGAAUCGGGAUUAAUGCCCUUAUCCUGGCCACAACCAAAGCCCUGUUUUCUACUAGUGCAUGUUCCUCUCCGACGUCUUUGUUUUAGAAAAGUGUUCUGUUUACCACAGUCUCAUUGAAAUCUCCAACCGCAAGCCAAGGGGCAUUUUCCCCAUCUUUGAUUCAUUUCAACCCUUCACAAAUAUGAUGCCUUUCAUGAGAUUUAAUUAUGUUCACAAUAAACAAAAGUACCCUGCCACUUAGGGCUAUAGGGAUUGAGCCCGAUCAAGACAUCAAUAUAGACCGGGCCGAUGAGAAGCUUCUUUAUUUCCACACUACCAUCAUGAAAGAGAGCAAUAUCUGCACCUUUUUCAUGGUUGCCUUGCACAAUACAUUUUUUGAGGCCUAGUCUCCAUCACAAUUUAUUGACAUACCUAUUGCGCGCUUUGCCGCGUUUCUUAGACGGAGACUAUCUUAAGCUUGUAAGUAUGCCUUGACCUGUUCGAGGCUGCCCGAGGCCCCAACAGUUCCAGCUUAGCAGCAUCAUGACUCUUGACUCGUAUAACCUACCUAAGUAUAUAAUAAUGGAAACGAUGAAAUCGUGAAUGGCUUUGUAGUAUGUUCGAGUCAGGAUAAGGGCAAGCGGCCCCGAGACGGUUCAUGUCAAGAAGCGGGUUUUUCUUUAGCCAAAAGGUACUUCGAACUUGGAACGAGCAUGAAUCAACCAGUCUAGUUUCGUAUGAUCGUAGGAGUAAACGAUCUUUUUGUGGUUAUGUUGUUCAACGGUAUGUGUGGACUUGGGCCUUUGGUAAACUAAGCGUGACGUGCAUGUUGUGAAUUACAACAAUGUUGGAUCAAUGUUAUUGUAUCUAUGAUUGUUGUUCAAUGGCAACACAUGAGCAAACUUUUUUUUUUGCGGGGUAAAAGGGAGUUUUAUUGCAAGUUCAUAGAGUUACAGUCAAGAGGCCACAAGUCCUCGAUACAAGGUGGAACCCAGCCCAACCACACAGUUGUACCUCGUUCGGACCGGCUAUAGGUUGCCAACCGAUUGGCAACUCUAUUUUGACUACGCCUAAUUUUCUGAGGUAAAAACUCCCUCUCACUCAUUAACUCCUUAAUCUCUAAAUCUAACUGGCCAUACACACGAUCAAACUAACCUUACAAAUAUGGGACCGGCUACCCGUCAGUUGACUGAAAACAGAUUUUGGUUCAACCGACUAACCCAAAAUUUGUUCCAGUUCAGGCAAGUGCUAUCGCAAUGCAUAUAUCCAGUUGGUCCAUAGUUAAUUAGUUAAGAGUCAAUUACAGUGGUGGUGCUAGAACUUGACGCAAACGGUCAUUUUAGUGCUACAAGUUGUGGCAUACAUCAAAAUGGCGUAAAAACUUGGCUUCGACGUGCAAAUACAGUGCUUAUGUCGCUUGUAUAUGAAAUCAACGCUGACUAGGCACGUGGGGCCCAUUUUCAGCCACAGGACCGGUAGAAGGGGGUGCGUGACUUAUUUUUUCCAGAAACACCCUCGAAAUAUUUAGAAAAAAACCUGUUGACUUGGGAUUUUUUUAAAAUCUAAGACCAGUGGGUCCCGUCUGUCGGGAGGGAGUGAAAAUUAAACUAAAAAAUUUGGUCGCAGAGAAUUGAACCCACGAUCAGCAACAAACAUGCAACCCGGCUAGCCAAUGCACCCAUCACACUACCUAGCUUACACAGGAUAAGGACGUUAUAUGUACUUGUAUGCAUGUGGAACUUAAAUGGGUUGCUGAUAAUGCGGCCAAAUUUUCACCGGUUUGUUUUUCAUCUAUUUUUCUAAAAUGUAAGUAAUAAAAAUUACUUUCAAUAAUUUAUUGAUUUAAAUAUUAGACCUACAAACAAUGAUUAUUUAAUAAAGAAACAAAAUAUACAUCCGUGUAUUAUACAAAAAAAUGUAGUUAACAUGGAAAAGAAUUAAUCAAUAAAAAAAUAUCACACACUCGGGCUUAUAUUUAAAUUAUUAAAAAAUGUAGUUAACAUGUAGAAUCCGCAUGUUGACAUAAUUUACACAUAAUUUACUCGGGCUUGCUACUAACGUCUAUGUGGAAAAGAAUUUACACAUAAUUUUUUUACACAUGUUAACUACAUAAUUUACAUAAUUUACACAUAAUUCUUCAUAUAAAACGAAUAAAAAAAUAACGUCUAUGUUGUUUGUUCGAGACUUAGAAUCCGCAUGUUUUGUUUAAUUUUCACUCCCACCUGACAGGCAGAACCCACCCUUCAUAGAGGUGAAGAAAAUGGCACCUCUCCCACGCCAAGAGGUGUUUUUGUGAAUAUAUAUAUAUAUAUAUAUAUAUAUAUAUAUAUAUAUAUAUAUAUAUAUAUAUAUAUCAAGGGUGUUUUUAGAAAAAACAAGUCACACACCCCCUUCCCCUGGUCCAGUGGCUGACAGCGGGCCCCAUGUUCCGUAUGCAAAAAUGAGAUAAGCACUGUAUUUGCACCUCAAAGUCAAGAUUUUGUACCACUUUGAUGUAUGCCACAACUUCUAGCACCAAAAUAACCGUUUGUGUCAAGUUUUAGCACCACUGGUGUAACUGACUCAUUAGUUUAUCCACCGCCAAAUUGACGUGAGCUGGCAUGCAUUUUGAAUGACCAUGCACGUACACAUUUCAGCACAUCAUUAACGCUGCUUUUUUGGGGGCAUCAAUAACGCUGCUGCACUUGAAUCACCACCGUCAGCGUGAUGGAUGCAUGCAACACGGGCCCGCAAAUAUCGGAUGUACAUAUUCAUGUUUGGUUCAUAGUUAGUAUUUUCCCACACUAUUUUACUCAGUAAGAUUCUUGUUAUGGAAAAUAAGGCCACAUGUCAUACACGUUAGUAUGUUGUUUGUUCGCAAAUGUUUUUUUUGAAUUUUUAUGUUUUUUUUUGUGAGCGGGUGCAGAUGAGUCCGAGCUCGGAAUUGGAUAUUCGACACUUUAGCCAGAUUUCAGUCGAUUUUCUGGCCGUAUGUGCUUUAGGAUGUGUGUAGUUUUUCCUUUUUUUUCUAUCACGUUAUGCUGGUAUACCGGGCUGUUUGGAUUCGACUGAAUCCUAUUUUGGAUCAGUAGAUUUUCUUUUUGGGCUGGAUUUUGGUGUGUGCAUUUUUUUAUGGGUUGUUUUUGUUUUCUGCACGUGUACGCUUUUAUUUUUCUAUUUUUCAGUUAAGUUUUUUUUCUUUACGUGUAUUCCUAGACGUUGAGUAAAUAUAUACAUGGAAGUAAUACAUGUACAAAUUACAUUAGAGUACGGAAACAUCACUCUUAUAUAUUUAUUCUACAGAUUAUCAAAAGUGCAAUUUUUUGUGCUAAUUGUGUGGAAAAUUUGCUUUUUUUAUUUUCUUUAUUUUGUAAGGGUAAUAACAAUGCUAAUUCUUCUGUGCUAAUUUUUCUAAUUAAAUAUAUUAUUAUUAUUAUUAUUAUUAUUAUUAUUAUUAUUAUUAUUAUUAUUAUUAUUAUUAUUAUUAUUAUUAUUAUUAUUAUUAUGCAUGAAAGUACUAUACAAUUUUUGUGUAAAUAAUACUGGACUGCUAAAGUUGCAUUAUUAUAUGUGUAUUCAAUGCAUAUCAUAAAAAAUUCCACUGCAAAGUUGUCUGAAAGUUGUAUUUCUUUAUUCUUAAGAGUAAUAUCAAUGUCACUAAUUUACUCUCUCUUUUAUUCGUUUUAUAAUGUUUAUUUUUAAAUUCAUUGCCUGUUUUUCAGGACGAUACCAAUGCCACUAAUUCGUUCCUUGUUUCAAACUUUAUUUUUAUGUAAAAUUCAUUAUUAUAUGUUUAUUCUUACAUAACUAAAAACUGCAAUUUAUGUGUAAAUUGUGUGCAAAUUGUAUCAUUAUUAUUUUUACUUUAUUUUCUUCUAAAAGGGUAGUACCAAUGUCACUAUACUUGAUUUCUUCUUAAAAAAUAUUUUAAUUUUUGUUUUUGUAAGUAAGUAUACACGCAAGUAUGAUACACCAUGUGUGUAUAUUAUAGUAGAGAGCAGAAAUUGCACUGUAUAUGCUUAUUUUUUGAAUAUUACGAAAGUGCAAUUUCAGGGCAUACUUGUGUCCAAGUUAUUUUUUUAAUUUUCUUUCUCCUUAAAGGGUUUCAUUUUCCCCUAGAAAAAUUUAUUAUUUUUGUUGCUGCUUUUGUUUUUAUAUUUUCUUUUUCUUAAAGGGUUUCCUUCUUACAUAGAAAACUUUAUUAUUUUUUUCCUUUCUAAUUUGUAUAUUUAUUUUUCUUAAAGUGCUUCAUUAUUCCAUAGAAAACUUUAUUAUUUUGUUUUAGUUUUUGAUUUUUUCUUUCUUCUUAAAGGGUUUCAUUCUUCCCUGGAAAAUUUUAUUAUGUCGUUUUUAUUUUAAUUUCUUCUUAAAGGGUUUUAUUCUUCCCUAGAAAAAAUCAUUAUUUUGUUUUCAUUUUAAUUUUUCUUUAACGGUAAUACCAAUAUCGUCCACUGUUAUAUGGUUAUUCUUUCGUAUUAUAAAAAGUGUAACAUUUUUUUUGCAAAACCCUUCUGUGUAAAUGUGUGUAAGUUCUGUCAACAUUUGAUUUAUUUUUUAUACUUUCCUUUCUUUUUAAUGAUAAUACAAAUUCCACUAAAUUGCUCCUUCUUAGGAAACUUCCUUUUUGCGAAACUUGCACCAUUAUACACGUAUUCUUGCAUAUUAUAAAAAAUGCAAUUUGUACGCAAAUUUUUUCAUUAUUUGAUUUAUAUGUUUGAAAGGUAAGACCAAUGCCACUAUUUUUAUUUGUAUAUUUUAUAAGGUGACAGCAGCACAACUAUUACAGUUUGAGGUGACCGCCACUUUUUCUACUUUUGGUUAUCAGGUUUACAACUCAUAGUAAUUUAAAUCAUGCUAGUUAAAACCGGUAGCCGUCUCAUAGUUUGCCACACGCCCACACCAAUUUAGCCGAACUUGCCUUAGGUUAGGUGCUUAAAUUGUUAGCCACACGUUGGCUUACCUAUGGAAAAUCUUCCAUAUAUUUUGUGUGUAUGACAUGUGGCCUUAUUUUCCAUAACAAGAAUCUUACUGAGUAAAAUAGUGUGGGAAAAUACUAACUAUGAACCAAACAUGAAUAUGUACAUCCGAUAUUUGCGGGCCCGUGUUGCAUGCAUCCAUCACGCUGACGGUGGUGAUUCAAGUGCAGCAGCGUUAUUGAUGCCCCCAAAAAAGCAGCGUUAAUGAUGUGCUGAAAUGUGUACGUGCAUGGUCAUUCAAAAUGCAUGCCAGCUCACGUCAAUUUGGCGGUGGAUAAACUAAUGAGUCAGUUACACCAGUGGUGCUAAAACUUGACACAAACGGUUACUUUGGUGCUAGAAGUUGUGGCAUACAUCAAAGUGGUACAAAAACUUGGCUUUGAGGUGCAAAUACAGUGCUUAUCUCAUUUUUGCAUACGGAACAUGGGGCCCGCUGUCAGCCACUGGACCAGGGGAAGGGGGUGUGUGACUUGUUUUUUCUAAAAACACCCUUGNNNNNNNNNNNNNNNNNNNNNNNNNNNNNNNNNNNNNNNNNNNNNNNNNNNNNNNNNNNNNNNNNNNNNNNNNNNNNNNNNNNNNNNNNNNNNNNNNNNNNNNNNNNNNNNNNNNNNNNNNNNNNNNNNNNNNNNNNNNNNNNNNNNNNNNNNNNNNNNNNNNNNNNNNNNNNNNNNNNNNNNNNNNNNNNNNNNNNNNNNNNNNNNNNNNNNNNNNNNNNNNNNNNNNNNNNNNNNNNNNNNNNNNNNNNNNNNNNNNNNNNNNNNNNNNNNNNNNNNNNNNNNNNNNNNNNNNNNNNNNNNNNNNNNNNNNNNNNNNNNNNNNNNNNNNNNNNNNNNNNNNNNNNNNNNNNNNNNNNNNNNNNNNNNNNNNNNNNNNNNNNNNNNNNNNNNNNNNNNNNNNNNNNNNNNNNNNNNNNNNNNNNNNNNNNNNNNNNNNNNNNNNNNNNNNNNNNNNNNNNNNNNNNNNNNNNNNNNNNNNNNNNNNNNNNNNNNNNNNNNNNNNNNNNNNNNNNNNNNNNNNNNNNNNNNNNNNNNNNNNNNNNNNNNNNNNNNNNNNNNNNNNNNNNNNNNNNNNNNNNNNNNNNNNNNNNNNNNNNNNNNNNNNNNNNNNNNNNNNNNNNNNNNNNNNNNNNNNNNNNNNNNNNNNNNNNNNNNNNNNNNNNNNNNNNNNNNNNNNNNNNNNNNNNNNNNNNNNNNNNNNNNNNNNNNNNNNNNNNNNNNNNNNNNNNNNNNNNNNNNNNNNNNNNNNNNNNNNNNNNNNNNNNNNNNNNNNNNNNNNNNNNNNNNNNNNNNNNNNNNNNNNNNNNNNNNNNNNNNNNNNNNNNNNNNNNNNNNNNNNNNNNNNNNNNNNNNNNNNNNNNNNNNNNNNNNNNNNNNNNNNNNNNNNNNNNNNNNNNNNNNNNNNNNNNNNNNNNNNNNNNNNNNNNNNNNNNNNNNNNNNNNNNNNNNNNNNNNNNNNNNNNNNNNNNNNNNNNNNNNNNNNNNNNNNNNNNNNNNNNNNNNNNNNNNNNNNNNNNNNNNNNNNNNNNNNNNNNNNNNNNNNNNNNNNNNNNNNNNNNNNNNNNNNNNNNNNNNNNNNNNNNNNNNNNNNNNNNNNNNNNNNNNNNNNNNNNNNNNNNNNNNNNNNNNNNNNNNNNNNNNNNNNNNNNNNNNNNNNNNNNNNNNNNNNNNNNNNNNNNNNACCAGCAUAACGUGAUAGAAAAAAAAGGAAAAACUACACACAUCCUAAAGCACAUACGGCCAGAAAAUCGACUGAAAUCUAGCUAAAGUGUCGAAUAUCCAAUUCCGAGCUCGGACUCAUCUGCACCCGCUCACGAAAAAAAACAUAAAAAUUCAAAAAAAACAUUUUUUGGUGAAAGGUAGAAAAUUUGGUGCGUGAGGUGCGCUCCAAAUUUCAAAGCAUUUGGACAUUUGAGUAGCUCUCAGCAAAAAAGACAAAUUGAGUCAGGAUAUUAUAUGAGCAGUACACUAUUUAAUGGAACCUAAAUUUGUUUUGUUUGUCGAGAGCUACUCAAAUGUCCAAAUGAUUUGAAAUUUGGAGCGGACAUCACACACCAAAUUAUCUACCAUGCCAAUUUUUUUUGGAAUUUAUUGAAUGUUUUUACUAUUUGUUUUGAUUUUUUUAUUGAACGCAGAUGCAGAUGAUCCUAGGAGCCAAAACAGCCUCACUCCUAAAGUGUACAAAUAUAACAAUGGGCGUGAUGUUUUGGCUCUGGGAUAGUAAUCACAAUGAAAAUAGUUUAGAAUGAAACAGAACUGAUUUUUGUUUUUCUAAAAACAGUAAUUCUUCGUAAGUAAAAACUUCAAUCGCACUGCAGCUUCAUUUUUUUGUUGGUCUAGAAGGAUAGUUUUCGAUAAUUCAUCCUGAAGCCCGGGCUCAGCUGCUCCAGGUCAGCAAAAAAUUCAAAACAAAUAUUAGAAAAAUUCAAAAAAUUCCAAUUUUUUUGUGUGUGGUAGAUAAUUAGAUGCGUGAGGUUCGCUGCAAAAAUCAACUCGUUUGGACAUUUGUGUAGGUCUCGGAAAAAAAGACAAAUCGGGUCAAAACAGUUCAUAAACAGUAAACAUUUUUAGAGACCCCAGUUUUGUCUUUUUUGCACAGACUUGCUUAAAUGUCCAAACGAGUUGAUUUUUGCAGCGAACCUCACGCAUCUAAUUAUCUAUCAUAUAAAAAAAUUUGGAAUUUUUGGAAUUUUUUUUGUAUUCGUUUGAUUUCAUCGGUGAGCGAGGGUGCAGCUGAGCCCGGUUGCAGAUUCGCCGCACUCCUUAGUUUUGGGCUUCAGUCGCGCAUCUGCACUUUCACUUUCCCCAUUGCGGCUGCACACCCCAUCCUAGCUAGACUCCUCCGCCGCCGCCGCCGCCUCCCCCAUGAGCUCCCCCUCCAUGGCGGCCGCCCUCCACCGCCGCCCCCGCUCCCGCCCGCCUCUGGAAGACGAGGAUCUGCUCUCCGAGAUCUUCCUCCGCCUCCCGCCGCAGCCGUCCUCCCUCCCCCGCGCCUCCGCCGUCUGCAAGCGCUGGCGCCGCCUCGUCUUCGACCGCGGCUUCCUCCGCCGCUACCGCCAACACCACCGCCGCAGCCCUCCGCUCCUCGGUUUCUUCCGCAGCGACUAUGCAGGCAUCUCCUACACGCCUGCCAUGGAGGCCCCCGAUCGUGUCCCCGCCGGGCGCUUCUCUUUGCUUCUCUACGACAGCCGCGCCAGAAUCCUCAGCUGCCGCCAUGGACUCCUGCUCUUCGCCCGCUCAUCGGGAAACCGGUUCCUGGUGUGGGACCCCGUCACCCGCGACCAGCACAGGCUUGUCGCGCCACCGCCGUUCGACAUCUACGCAGCUCAGGUGGACGGGGCGGUGCUCCGGGCUGCUGGAGACGCCCACCACUUCCAGGUGGUAUUGGUAAGCUACCAACAGAAGCAAGUGAUCGCCUGCAUUUACUCCUCGGAGACUGGUGUAUGGAGUGAUCUCAUGCCAACAUCGGUCCAACGCACGGCCGUGGGUUGUCAAGGCAUGCCUGCUGUGUUGGUCGGGGAUUCCCUUUACUUGCUGCUCUCUGACGGUGGUAUAACUGUAAUUCUUGAGGUUGAUUUGAACAGGCAGAGCCUAGCUUUGAUACAGGUGCCACUGUCUAUGCUUGCCUAUGGUCAUCAUAGGGACUAUAUGACACUUGCACGAGCAGAGGGUGGCGGGCUGGGUUUACUCUGGAAGGAAGGCUUCACCGCCCAGUUCUGGAAGAUGAAUGCUGGUUGUGAUGGUGUUUCUUCAUGGGUGUGGGGAAGAACUAUUAAAUUGGACAAGCUACUUUCCCUGAAUUUAGAGGAGAUAAAGCGCAUACAGAGGAUAGCGUAUGCUGAGGAAAAUAAUGUGGCUUUCUUGCGGACAGUUUCCGGUGUCUUCAUGGUCCAGCUUGAGUCAUUGCAGUUCAGUAAACUUCCUGAAAAAAACAACUGUGCUAUCUGCUAUCCAUUAGAAAGUGUCUAUGCUGCAGGUAAAUCCAUGUCUUCAAACUCUGGUUAUAACAAAUCCAUGUUGAUUUUCGAUAAUUAGUUGAUGGAAUAUGCCGUUCACAUCCUUUUGUGUUAAGAUAACCAUUUUAAGUAGUGUCACAUUACUUGUUUCUUUUGCUGCCUGAUGACCUCUGCAACAUAUAGCGAAUUAGUUCUGCAGUGCUUCUGUUGUGAUGCUUGCGUGGUAGCUUUAUUUGAUGGUUAUAAUCUGGAUUCACAUCUGUUACUGGUUAUGUAACAGUUGAACUAAAUUUCAUUGUUUGCCUUUUGACAUAUUCAAGAAUUGUAUAUUGGUAGUGCUGUGGUGCAGGUUUUUGUCAUGGUGAAAACAACUACAUGUGAAUAUUCUCUAAAUUUGAUGGCUGUUUGGUUUUGUUUAUCUUCCUAAUGCUGUAUCAGAACUGAGUUUUUUUUUCCAGAUUACAGUCGUUAGUUAUAUAAAUAUAUUCCUAAUGUUGUAUCUAUUUAGCUUUCCAUUAGAAUGUUAUUGGUUGUUUGACUUCUUAUAAUUGCAGAAACAAGCAUUGGUGGUGGACAUGGUGGAGCUGAUCAAGAUAUGAUAGUAUUAGUAUGAUGUACUGGUUGAGCAGGAAAGCUUAUCUUCUGAAUGUAUGCUGAGGUAUCUGAAGUUCUGAACUGUUCUGUCAAAACCAUGUAUUUUUUCCCCUUUUUACUGCCAUUCCUCAUGUACUAAAUUGCAAGAGAGGGUUGUAAGCUUUUCUCUACAAUCUUUUGCUUAAUUGUUCCCCACCUGGCCACUUCCCAACACGCUUUCAUGGCAGGCUGCGUCGUGUUUCCCCAUGCCCUGCUUCCUCAUCCCUUCCUCAGCAGCUCUCCAUUCUCUUCCUCAUGCCUUCACCCACUUACAUUCUCUUUUAUUUGCUGAUGUUUUAGCCCCUCCACUGGAUAUGCUCUUCGCUCGCCUCUCCCUUCCAUCCAGCUGCCUUGCUUUCAGUUUACCUCCUUCUUGGUACUUCCCGAAUCCCCUCUAGUAGUGCUGAUUUUUCUCCCCCUAGCUCCUCAGAUGACUGAUGACUUUAUGCCUUUCCCCCUUCUGUUCAAAAUUUCUUUCCUACCCGGUCAUAGAUUAUAGUGGUGUCAUGUUAAGUGGUAGCAGAAUGAAAUACAUCCUGUUUCAUUUUUUCUUUUUGUUAUAAUUUUACCACUUCCUACAUUGCCUUUGAUUAGUUUUUUGUGGUUAUGGAUCCAUCAGGUCGUAGUGUGAUUUAUAUGUUCUUCUCCGCGUCAGUGACUGACAACUAACUAUACCUGAGCAUACUAAAUUUGUAUGAGCUUAUCGCAAUGCCGUUUCACAUUGCUGCUUAUUUUGGAUCAUUGUGAUACCUAGUGAACUAAUUAUUGUAACGAAAUUUUGAAGAGCAUGCCUUCGUGAAAUGUUGUACCACUGUUUAUCGUUCUACUUGCAGUUAAGUAUUGCAGAUUUGUUGACACUUAUUCUAGUUUUAGACCGUUUGCUUAAAUAUUGUCUCAGCACCUCUCACUGUUAGUUGCAUAUGCAAUUGGAGUCCUACAAAAUCAGCUGAAUGGUAUAAAACUUUAACGGCUUUUCCAUGAAUGCAUGAUGCAAAUUUAGUUUUAUUGAUGUAGUCAUUGGCUCAUUGCCCUGCAGGUAUCUAGAGUUAUGUUCUGGUGUCUGAGAUGCAGAAGGGGGCAAGGGGCUUGUUUGCUGCAACCCACAAGGAAAAUUUGCCCUCUAUUUAGGAUGCACUAGUCAGCUGUGAAAUGGACUUGUAUGAAUUAGUUGCUUAUUUUGAUCAACCUGGUUUAUAUCUAAUUUCUGUAAUCAAUUGGCCAACUGGGCAUGAAGACAUAAUGAGCUUGUACGAUUAAUUAGUACCUUUCGGCUGAUCUUGCUUUCAUUUUGUGUGUUAUCAUAUUUUCACUGUUAUCUUUUGAUUGUGUUCCAUGUUAUAUUAGGUAAGAUGCCCCAUUUAGUGUGUUUGUUUUUACCUGGUUCUACUAAUGAGUGUUGAGUUCUUUUACUUUCCCUGAGAUUCAGGAAAGGCUUGGAUAAGAUUACUAAGGCUUGGAGUAUGAAAUAAACAUUCCACUUUGAGAUAUGCAAAAUUUCACACAAGUGGUGCGCCGACACGCGGAACUCAUUUUAUUGAUUCCUUCGGCUAUCACAGCUGUUCAACAUCAUAUGAUCCCUUGAUCUACAUGUUCAGCUCUUUAUUUUGAAGGUCACUUGGCGUUAGUUAUUGCCCCACCUCUUGUUGCACUCAGCUAUACAAUCCGCAACACUUUAUGCAUCUGCAAAAUAGCCAAGACGAGCACAAGAUCCUCAGACCAGAUGGUGAUUCUUCUUUUUAUCAAUAGAAAAAAGAGAACAAAUUGCCUCGAUAUUCAGGAGAAUUCAUCUACAAACAGAGCAAAUGCAAUUCAACUAUACAAGUAAGGUGGACUGUUCACAGACGGAGUCCGUGCUGCAGACCAUGAUGCAUGCGGCAAGGGUGUCCUCCUUGUCGACGCCGUUGCAGUUCCCGGCGCAGUCAACAUUGCAGAGUCACCAAGGGGCUGUGCCUGCACCCAUCGUGGCACUGCUGGUAACAGUCGCAUAAGGAGCAUGAUGCACAGCGCGGCAACAGUGGCCGCCCUCUUCUUCACUUCCAUCUCCUCUCCUUUCCUUGGACAAGCUAUGACAAGAGAAGAGGAAGGGAACUGCUGUGGGAGUUUUCAGGUGACUGGUGGCUCUCUUACUCAGUCAGAGUGUGUGGCCUCUUACAUAUUGGAGUUCCAAGGGCAAUAUCAACAUUUGACCUGGUUAAUAUUUAGUGUAACACAACAAAGUAUUUCAGUAUUUUCUAGCACAUCAAAUGAUCCACAAUUUCAGGUUUGGUUGUUUUGUAGCCAGUUUUGCCAUGUUAUCGGUUUCCUGAACAAGAUGGUGCCCACUGCCAAUUACGAGCCCCUAGUGGAGCACCUGAAAAUAACCUUGGAUCUUAAACCGAUUAGACAAGCGCAUGCUACUCAUCUUUCUAUUUUCUUUGUGAAGAGGCCUGUGCUGAUGUAGAAAGAAAACCGAAUGCAGUUUUCAUACAAUGCUGUUUAGCAGUAGUAAGGGACAGAUUGCUAUAUUAAGUUCCUGGAGAUGUAAAGUAUCUGCCUGGAAAGACACCUCCUGUGAAUUGAAUUUGCACAAUUCUCUUUUUCUUUAACAAAAUUUACAUCUAUUCAGUAGCAAUGCCACCGGGAUAGUUUUUAAUUUUUGAGACAUGGUGAAGGCUUUGGUGUGUUAGCGGCUAAUGUUUGAAUUUGAAUUAUUUGAUGAGUUAAAUAUACAGAUGAUGUAUCCAUGGGAGUGUGUUCUUCAGUGUGUUGGGUCUUGGGUGUGUGAUUGUCGUUGUCGUUAAAAAACUAUGUAUGACACAGGGACAUGUUGUUUUGCUCAUCUUGACAUGGGGAUGGGGUGAACGAAUCUCACACAGUAGAAUCUUCUCUUUUGGUUAGUCUGGUAGAUAUGGAAAUUGCCUGUAAGUUGCAAUUUUUUUUUACUGAAAUGUAACUGUACAUAUGAAUAUAUCUAUUGUUGGGAAGUUUGUUUACAUAUUUUCUUAGCAUAUGUCUCAUUGUUAUUUUUUUUACAUUGUCAUUGUGUAAUCAGAUUUUUCUGCUUUCCUACUCCAGAGAAUGAACUAUAUGCCCAUUGAUCAUUUAGCCUCUAUUGGAACAGAUGUUGCCAAAAACUCCCAAGUUGAAGGUGUGCCUCAAAUUACCUUUGUUCUCUGUUUCUAAUGUUAGUUUUGUCUAAUAACUCUGGUGAUUUCACAUCGGAACUUUUGGCACAAUUUUCAAGAUGGUGUAGCUAAUGUUUACUGUUUGAGCCAUUCAAAAUCUAUGGAUAUGACUUCAAUGGCUUUCCAUGAAUGUGUUGUACAGAUUGGUUUGACUGAUGCCAUCAUUGCCCUGCAGGUAUCUAGAGUUACGGCCAAGAUGCAGAAGUGGCUUGUUCGCUUGCUUCGAUUAGUUAGUAUCUUUCAAUUGAUCUUGCUUGCCUUCAUUAGUAUGUGUUCAUCUUUUCACUGUUUUCUUUGAUUCUGCAUCAGAUUUCUAUUUAGGCCUCAUUUUUUAUUUAGGCCCCAUUUUCCGCGUUUGUUCUUGGUGAAUGUUUAUCUGGUUCUCCCUGAUGAAUUUCAAAUUAUUUUGCUUUAGUUAACAUUCAGACAAGGCUUGGAUGAGUUUGCUGUAUCAAUCAGUACUUUUCGGUUGAUUUUGCUUGCUUGCAUGCUGUGCCUGUGCAUAUUUUCACUGCUUCUGUGUUACAUCUGGUGGGGAGAAUUCCGCGUCAGAUUUAUGCUUUUGUUUUUGUGAAUUNNNNNNNNNNUUUGAUAAUCUGUAGAAUAAAUAUAUAAGAGUGAUGUUUCCGUACUCUAAUGUAAUUUGUACAUGUAUUACUUCCAUGUAUAUAUUUACUCAACGUCUAGGAAUACACGUAAAGAAAAAAAACUUAACUGAAAAAUAGAAAAAUAAAAGCGUACACGUGCAGAAAACAAAAACAACCCAUAAAAAAAUGCACACACCAAAAUCCAGCCAAAAAGAAAAUCUACUGAUCCAAAAUAGGAUUCAGUCGAAUCCAAACAGCCCGGUAUACCAGCAUAACGUGAUAGAAAAAAAAGGAAAAACUACACACAUCCUAAAGCACAUACGGCCAGAAAAUCGACUGAAAUCUAGCUAAAGUGUCGAAUAUCCAAUUCCGAGCUCGGACUCAUCUGCACCCGCUCACGAAAAAAAACAUAAAAAUUCAAAAAAAACAUUUUUUGGUGAAAGGUAGAAAAUUUGGNNNNNNNNNNNNNNNNNNNNNNNNNNNNNNNNNNNNNNNNNNNNNNNNNNNNNNNNNNNNNNNNNNNNNNNNNNNNNNNNNNNNNNNNNNNNNNNNNNNNGGGGGGGGACACACCCCGGAGACGCGUGUUGGGCGUUUGCAACCGCCUCAACACUUCCAAAUUUGUGAGAGGCCGCCUACGCAAGAUUUGACGGUAUGCUAGCCCCCGGAGGCCGCCGGCCACAGUCGUAGACGUGCGAAGAGCAAUCCGCGUAGAGGGAAGUGUUCAGAUACUUCUCCAUCACAAAAAAUUAUGAAAAAUUACCAUCAGUCCUAUAGCACAUGUGCCCACGUUGUGUAAAAAACUCAUGAUUUUAUCGCGCUCCAAGUAUUUAAGAAUAUUCACGCUGCAUCGUUACCGCAGAACGUCUACUACCGUUUCAUUGCCGUCCGUGAGGGGGGCCACAACCCGGAGACGCGUGCUGCCUCUUCGGACAUGCCACAACACCACCCCGCAUGUAUGAGGGCCCGGUACGACGCUCCGGUGGCAUUGCUACCCCCCAGGGCCCCCGUCCCGGCUAACCCUGUAGCGUUUGACCACGGGAUCUAGCCCUUUGACUUUGCACGGACGGGCUUUGACCAGUGGACCUCUCCACCCAGUUGUAUUAGGUCGGCCCAGAGGAACACUUUGGAGCAACAUCCGGGCCAAACCCACAGCUACAUCCACUCUGUGUAGACCCGACGCGUCCGUUUCCCCCCUCCAGGUGCCGGCGGCGGCGGCGUCCGUGAGGGGGGGGGGGGACACACCCCGGAGACGCGUGCUGGGCGUUUGCAACCGCCUCAACACUUCCAAAUUUGUGAGAGGCCUCCUACGCAAGAUUUGACGGUAUGCUAGCCCCCGGAGGCCGCCGGCCACAGUCGUAGACGUGCGAAGAGCAAUCCGCGUAGAGGGAAGUGUUCAGAUACUUCUCCAUCACAAAAAAUUAUGAAAAAUUACCAUCAGUCCUAUAGCACAUGUGCCCACGUUGUGUAAAAAACUCAUGAUUUUAUCGCGCUCCAAGUAUUUAAUAAUAUUCACGCUGCAUCGUUACCGCAGAACGUCUACUACCGUUUCAUUGCCGUCCGUGAGGGGGGCCACAACCCGGAGACGCGUGCCGCCUCUUCGGACAUGCCACAACACCACCCCGCAUGUAUGAGGGCCCGGUACGACGCUCCGGUGGCAUUGCUACCCCCCAGGGCCCCCGUCCCGGCUAACCAUGUAGCGUUUGACCACGGGAUCUAGCCCUUUGACUUUGCACGGACGGGCUUUGACCAGUGGACCUCUCCACCCGGUUGUGUUAGGUCGGCCCAGAGGAACACUUUGGAGCAACAUCCGGGCCAAACCCACAGCUACAUCCACUCAGUGUAGACCCGACACGUCCGUUUCCCCCCUCCAGGUGCCGGCGGCGGCGGCGUCCGUGAGGGGGGGGGGGCACGCCCCGGAGACGCGUGCUGGGCGUUUGCAACCGCCUCAACACUUCCAAAUUUGUGAGAGGCCGCCUACGCAAGAUUUUACGGUAUGCUAGCCCCCGGAGGCCGCCGGCCACAGUCGUAGACGUGCGAAGAGCAAUCCGCGUAGAGGGAAAUGUUCAGAUACUUCUCCAUCACAAAAAAUUAUGAAAAAUUACCAUCAGUCCUAUAGCACAUGUGCCCACGUUGUGUAAAAAACUCAUGAUUUUAUCGCGCUCCAAGUAUUUAAUAAUAUUCACGCUGCAUCGUUACCGCAGAACGUCUACUACCGUUUCAUUGCCGUCCGUGAGGGGGGCCACAACCCGGAGACGCGUGCCGCCUCUUCGGACAUGCCACAACACCACCCCGCAUGUAUGAGGGCCCGGUACGACGCUCCGGUGGCAUUGCUACCCCCCAGGGCCCCCGUCCCGGCUAACCCUGUAGCGUUUGACCACGGGAUCUAGCCCUUUGACUUUGCACGGACGGGCUUUGACCAGUGGACCUCUCCACCCGGUUGUGUUAGGUCGGCCCAGAGGAACACUUUGGAGCAACAUCCGGGCCAAACCCACAGCUACAUCCACUCCGUGUAGACCCGACGCGUCCGUUUCCCUCCUCCAGGUGCCGGCGGCGGCGGCGUCCGUGAGGGGGGGGGGACACACCCCGGAGACGCGUGUUGGGCGUUUGCAACCGCCUCAACACUUCCAAAUUUGUGAGAGGCCGCCUACGCAAGAUUUGACGGUAUGCUAGCCCCCGGAGGCCGCCGGCCACAGUCGUAGACGUGCGAAGAGCAAUCCGCGUAGAGGGAAGUGUUCAGAUACUUCUCCAUCACAAAAAAUUAUGAAAAAUUACCAUCAGUCCUAUAGCACAUGUGCCCACGUUGUGUAAAAAACUCAUGAUUUUAUCGCGCUCCAAGUAUUUAAGAAUAUUCACGCUGCAUCGUUACCGCAGAACGUCUACUACCGUUUCAUUGCCGUCCGUGAGGGGGGCCACAACCCGGAGACGCGUGCCGCCUCUUCGGACAUGCCACAACACCACCCCGCAUGUAUGAGGGCCCGGUACGACGCUCCGGUGGCAUUGCUACCCCCCAGGGCCCCCGUCCCGGCUAACCCUGUAGCGUUUGACCACGGGAUCUAGCCCUUUGACUUUGCACGGACGGGCUUUGACCAGUGGACCUCUCCACCCGGUUGUGUUAGGUCGGCCCAGAGGAACACUUUGGAGCAACAUCCGGGCCAAACCCACAGCUACAUCCACUCCGUGUAGACCCGACGCGUCCGUUUCCCCCCUCCAGGUGCCGGCGGCGGCGGCGUCCGUGAGGGGGGGGGGCACACCCCGGAGACGCGUGCUGGGCGUUUGCAACCACCUCAACACUUCCAAAUUUGUGAGAGGCCGCCUACGCAAGAUUUGACGGUAUGCUAGCCCCCGGAGGCCGCCGGCCACAGUCGUAGACGUGCGAAGAGCAAUCCGCGUAGAGGGAAGUGUUCAGAUACUUCUCCAUCACAAAAAAUUAUGAAAAAUAACCAUCAGUCCUAUAGCACAUGUGCCCACGUUGUGUAAAAAACUCAUGAUUUUAUCGCGCUCCAAGUAUUUAAUAAUAUUCACGCUGCAUCGUUACCGCAGAACGUCUACUACCGUUUCAUUGCCGUCCGUGAGGGGGGCCACAACCCGGAGACGCGUGCCGCCUCUUCGGACAUGCCACAACACCACCCCGCAUGUAUGAGGGCCCGGUACGACGCUCCGGUGGCAUUGCUACCCCCCAGGGCCCCCGUCCCGGCUAACCCUGUAGCGUUUGACCACGGGAUCUAGCCCUUUGACUUUGCACGGACGGGCUUUGACCAGUGGACCUCUCCACCCGGUUGUGUUAGGUCGGCCCAGAGGAACACUUUGGAGCAACAUCCGGGCCAAACCCACAGCUACAUCCACUCCGUGUAGACCCGACGCGUCCGUUUCCCCCCUCCAGGUGCCGGCGGCGGCGGCGUCCGUGAGUGGGGGGGGGCACACCCCGGAGACGCGUGCUGGGCGUUUGCAACCGCCUCAACACUUCCAAAUUUGUGAGAGGCCGCCUACGCAAGAUUUGACGGUAUGCUAGCCCCCGGAGGCCGCCGGCCACAGUCGUAGACGUGCGAAGAGCAAUCCGCGUAGAGGGAAGUGUUCAGAUACUUCUCCAUCACAAAAAAUUAUGAAAAAUUACCAUCAGUCCUAUAGCACAUGUGCCCACGUUGUGUAAAAAACUCAUGAUUUUAUCGCGCUCCAAGUAUUUAAUAAUAUUCACGCUGCAUCGUUACCGCAGAACGUCUACUACCGUUUCAUUACCGUCCGUGAGGGGGGCCACAACCCGGAGACGCGUGCCGCCUCUUCGGACAUGCCACAACACCACCCCGCAUGUAUGAGGGCCCGGUACGACGCUCCGGUGGCAUUGCUACCCCCCAGGGCCCCCGUCCCGGCUAACCCUGUAGCGUUUGACCACGGGAUCUAGCCCUUUGACUUUGCACGGACGGGCUUUGACCAGUGGACCUCUCCACUCGGUUGUGUUAGGUCGGCCCAGAGGAACACUUUGGAGCAACAUCCGGGCCAAACCCACAGCUACAUCCACUCCGUGUAGACCCGACGCGUCCGUUUCCCCCCUCCGGGUGCCGGCGGCGGCGGCGUCCGUGAGGGGGGGGGCACGCCCCGGAGAUGCGUGCUGGGCGUUUGCAACCGCCUCAACACUUCCAAAUUUGUGAGAGGCCGCCUAUGCAAGAUUUGAUGGUAUGCUAGCCCCCGGAGGCCGCCGGCCAAAGUCGUAGACGUGCGAAGAGCAAUCCGCGUAGAGGGAAGUGUUCAGAUACUUCUCCAUCACAAAAAAUUAUGAAAAAUUACCAUCAGUCCUAUAGCACAUGUGCCCACGUUGUGUAAAAAACUCAUGAUUUUAUCGCGCUCCAAGUAUUUAAUAAUAUUCACGCUGCAUCGUUACCGCAGAACGUCUACUACCGUUUCAUUGCCGUCCGUGAGGGGGGCCACAACCCGGAGACGCGUGCCGCCUCUUCGGACAUGCCACAACACCACCCCGCAUGUAUGAGGGCCCGGUACGACGCUCCGGUGGCAUUGCUACCCCCUAGGGCCCCCGUCCCAGCUAACCCUGUAGCGUUUGACCAUGGGAUCUAGCCCUUUGACUUCGCACGGACGGGCUUUGACCAGUGGACCUCUCCACCUGGUUGUGUUAGGUCGGCCCAGAGGAACACUUUGGAGCAACAUCCGGGCCAAACCCACAGCUACAUCCACUCCGUGUAGACCCGACGCGUCCGUUUCCCCCCCCAGGUGCCGCCGGCGGCGGCGUCCGUGAGUGGGGGGGGGGCACGCCCCGGAGACGCGUGCUGGGCGUUUGCAACUGCCUCAACACUUCCAAAUUUGUGAGAGGCCGCCUACGCAAGAUUUGACGGUAUGCUAGCCCCCGGAUGCCGCCGGCCACAGUCGUAGACGUGCGAAGAGCAAUCCGCGUAGAGGGAAGUGUUCAUAUACUUCUCCAUCACAAAAAAUUAUGAAAAAUUACCAUCAGUCCUAUAGCACAUGUGCCCACGUUGUGUAAAAAACUCAUGAUUUUAUCGCGCUCCAAGUAUUUAAUAAUAUUCACGCUGCAUCGUUACCGCAAAACGUCUACUACCGUUUCAUUGCCGUCCGUGAGGGGGGCCACAACCCGGCGACGCGUGCCGCCUCUUCGGACAUGCCACAACACCACCCCGCAUGUAUGAGGGCCCGGUACGAUGCUCCGGUGGCAUUGCUACCCCCAGGGCCCCCGUCCCGGCUAACCCUGUAGCGUUUGACCACGGGAUCUAACCCUUUGACUUUGCACGGACGGGCUUUGACCAGUGGACCUCUCCACCCGGUUGUGUUAGGUCGGCCCAGAGGAACACUUUGGAGCAACAUCCGGGCCAAACCCACAGCUACAUCCACUCUGUGUAGACCCGACGCGUCCGUUUNNNNNNNNNNNNNNNNNNNNNNNNNNNNNNNNNNNNNNNNNNNNNNNNNNNNNNNNNNNNNNNNNNNNNNNNNNNNNNNNNNNNNNNNNNNNNNNNNNNNNNNNNNNNNNNNNNNNNNNNNNNNNNNNNNNNNNNNNNNNNNNNNNNNNNNNNNNNNNNNNNNNNNNNNNNNNNNNNNNNNNNNNNNNNNNNNNNNNNNNNNNNNNNNNNNNNNNNNNNNNNNNNNNNNNNNNNNNNNNNNNNNNNNNNNNNNNNNNNNNNNNNNNNNNNNNNNNNNNNNNNNNNNNNNNNNNNNNNNNNNNNNNNNNNNNNNNNNNNNNNNNNNNNNNNNNNNNNNNNNNNNNNNNNNNNNNNNNNNNNNNNNNNNNNNNNNNNNNNNNNNNNNNNNNNNNNNNNNNNNNNNNNNNNNNNNNNNNNNNNNNNNNNNNNNNNNNNNNNNNNNNNNNNNNNNNNNNNNNNNNNNNNNNNNNNNNNNNNNNNNNNNNNNNNNNNNNNNNNNNNNNNNNNNNNNNNNNNNNNNNNNNNNNNNNNNNNNNNNNNNNNNNNNNNNNNNNNNNNNNNNNNNNNNNNNNNNNNNNNNNNNNNNNNNNNNNNNNNNNNNNNNNNNNNNNNNNNNNNNNNNNNNNNNNNNNNNNNNNNNNNNNNNNNNNNNNNNNNNNNNNNNNNNNNNNNNNNNNNNNNNNNNNNNNNNNNNNNNNNNNNNNNNNNNNNNNNNNNNNNNNNNNNNNNNNNNNNNNNNNNNNNNNNNNNNNNNNNNNNNNNNNNNNNNNNNNNNNNNNNNNNNNNNNNNNNNNNNNNNNNNNNNNNNNNNNNNNNNNNNNNNNNNNNNNNNNNNNNNNNNNNNNNNNNNNNNNNNNNNNNNNNNNNNNNNNNNNNNNNNNNNNNNNNNNNNNNNNNNNNNNNNNNNNNNNNNNNNNNNNNNNNNNNNNNNNNNNNNNNNNNNNNNNNNNNNNNNNNNNNNNNNNNNNNNNNNNNNNNNNNNNNNNNNNNNNNNNNNNNNNNNNNNNNNNNNNNNNNNNNNNNNNNNNNNNNNNNNNNNNNNNNNNNNNNNNNNNNNNNNNNNNNNNNNNNNNNNNNNNNNNNNNNNNNNNNNNNNNNNNNNNNNNNNNNNNNNNNNNNNNNNNNNNNNNNNNNNNNNNNNNNNNNNNNNNNNNNNNNNNNNNNNNNNNNNNNNNNNNNNNNNNNNNNNNNNNNNNNNNNNNNNNNNNNNNNNNNNNNNNNNNNNNNNNNNNNNNNNNNGUAAAAAACUCAUGAUUUUAUCGCGCUCCAAGUAUUUAAUAAUAUUCACGCUGCAUCGUUACCGCAGAACGUCUACUACCGUUUCAUUGCCGUCCGUGAGGGGGGCCACAACCCGGAGACGCGUGCCGCCUCUUCGGACAUGCCACAACACCACCCCGCAUGUAUGAGGGCCCGGUACGACGCUCCGGUGGCAUUGCUACCCCCCAGGGCCCCCGUCCCGGCUAACCCUGUAGCGUUUGACCACGGGAUCUAGCCCUUUGACUUUGCACGGACGGGCUUUGACCAGUGGACCUCUCCACCCGGUUGUGUUAGGUCGGCCCAGAGGAACACUUUGGAGCAACAUCCGGGCCAAACCCACAGCUACAUCCACUCCGUGUAGACCCGACGCGUCCGUUUCCCCCCUCCAGGUGCCGGCGGCGGCGGCGUCAGUGAGGGGGGGGGGGGACACACCCCGGAGACGCGUGCCGGGCGUUUGCAACCGCCUCAACACUUCCAAAUUUGUGAGAGGCCGCCUACGCAAGAUUUGACGGUAUGCUAGCCCCCGGAGGCCGCCGGCCACAGUCGUAGACGUGCGAAGAGCAAUCCGCGUAGAGGGAAGUGUUCAGAUACUUCUCCAUCACAAAAAAUUAUGAAAAAUUACCAUCAGUCCUAUAGCACAUGUGCCCACGUUGUGUAAAAAUUCAUGAUUUUAUCGCGCUCCAAGUAUUUAAUAAUAUUCACGCUGCAUCGUUACCGCAGAACGCCUACUACCGUUUCAUUGCCGUCCGUGAGGGGGGCCACAACCCGGAGACGCGUGCCGCCUCUUCGGACAUGCCACAACACCACCCCGCAUGUAUGAGGGCCUGGUACGACGCUCCGGUGGCAUUGCUACCCCCCAGGGCCCCCGUCCCGGCUAACCCUGUAGCGUUUGACCACGGGAUCUAGCCCUUUGACUUUGCACGGACGGGCUUUGACCAGUGGACCUCUCCACCCGGUUGUGUUAGGUCGGCCCAGAGGAACACUUUGGAGCAACAUCCGGGCCAAACCCACAGCUACAUCCACUCCGUUUAGACCCGACGCGUCCGUUUCCCCCCUCCAGGUGCCGGCGGCGGCGGCGUCCGUGAGGGGGGGGGGCACGCCCCGGAGACGCGUGCUGGGCGUUUGCAACCGCCUCAACACUUCCAAAUUUGUGAGAGGCCGCCUACGCAAGAUUUGACGGUAUGCUAGCCCCCGGAGGCCGCCGUCCACAGUCGUAGACGUGCGAAGAGCAAUCCGCGUGGAGGGAAGUGUUCAGAUACUUCUCCAUCACAAAAAAUUAUGAAAAAUUACCAUCAGUCCUAUAGCACAUGUGCCCACGUUGUGUAAAAAACUCAUGAUUUUAUCGCGCUCCAAGUAUUUAAGAAUAUUCACGCUGCAUCGUUACCGCAGAACGUCUACUACCGUUUCAUUGCCGUCCGUGAGGGGGGCCACAACCCGGAGACGCGUGCCGCCUCUUCGGACAUGCCACAACACCACCCCGCAUGUAUGAGGGCCCGGUACGACGCUCCGGUGGCAUUGCUACCCCCCAGGGCCCCCGUCCCGGCUAACCCUGUAGCGUUUGACCACGGGAUCUAGCCCUUUGACUUUGCACGGACGGGCUUUGACCAGUGGACCUCUCCACCCGGUUGUGUUAGGUCGGCCCAGAGGAACACUUUGGAGCAACAUCCGGGCCAAACCCACAGCUACAUCCACUCCGUGUAGACCCGACGCGUCCGUUUCCCCCCUCCAGGUGCCGACGGCGGCGACGUCCGUGAGGGGGGGGGGGGGCACACCCCGGAGACGCGUGCUGGGCGUUUGCAACCGCCUCAACACUUCCAAAUUUGUGAGAGGCCGUCUACGCAAGAUUUGACGGUAUGCUAGCCCCCGGAGGCCGCUGGCCACAGUCGUAGACGUGCGAAGAGCAAUCCGCGUAGAGGGAAAUGUUCAGAUACUUCUCCAUCACAAAAAAUUAUGAAAAAUUACCAUCAGUCCUAUAGCACAUGUGCCCACGUUGUGUAAAAAACUCAUGAUUUUAUCGCGCUCCAAGUAUUUAAUAAUAUUCACGCUGCAUCGUUACCGCAGAACGUCUACUACCGUUUCAUUGCCGUCCGUGAGGGGGGCCACAACCCGGAGAUGCGUGCCGCCUCUUCGGACAUGCCACAACACCACCCCGCAUGUAUGAGGACCCGGUACGACGCUCCGGUGGCAUUGCUACCCCCCAGGGCCCCCGUCCCGGCUAACCCUGUAGCGUUUGACCACGGGAUCCAGCCCUUUGACUUUGCACGGACGGGCUUUGACCAGUGGACCUCUCCACCCGGUUGUGUUAGGUCGGCCCAGAAGAACACUUUGGAGCAACAUCGAUCCGGGCCAAACCCACAGCUACAUCAACUCCGUGUAGACCCGACGCGUCCGUUUCCCCCCUCCAGGUNNNNNNNNNNNNNNNNNNNNNNNNNNNNNNNNNNNNNNNNNNNNNNNNNNNNNNNNNNNNNNNNNNNNNNNNNNNNNNNNNNNNNNNNNNNNNNNNNNNNNNNNNNNNNNNNNNNNNNNNNNNNNNNNNNNNNNNNNNNNNNNNNNNNNNNNNNNNNNNNNNNNNNNNNNNNNNNNNNNNNNNNNNNNNNNNNNNNNNNNNNNNNNNNNNNNNNNNNNNNNNNNNNNNNNNNNNNNNNNNNNNNNNNNNNNNNNNNNNNNNNNNGGCGGCGGCGUCCAUGAGGGGGGGGGGGCACGCCCCGGAGACGCGUGCCGCCUCUUCGGACAUGCCACAACACCACCCCGCAUGUAUGAGGGCCCGCUACGACGCUCCAGUGGCAUUGCUACCCCCCAGGGCCCCCGUCCCGCCUAACCCUGGAGCGGUUGACCACGAGAUCUAGCCUUCUGACUUCCCACGGACGGGCUUUGACCAGUGGACCUCUCCACCCGGUUGUGUUAGGUCGGCCCAGAGGGACACCCGGGAGUAACAUCCGGGCAAAAAUCACAGCUACAUCCACUCCGUGUAGACCCGACGCGUCCGUUUCCCCCCUCCAGGUGCCGGCGGCGGUGCCGUCCAUGAGGGGGGGCACACCGCGGAUGUGAGGGGGGUCACUCUCUGGAGACGGGUGUCGGGCGUUUGCAACUGCCACAAAACUUCUGUCGGCAUAGCUAUUUUUGAUUUUAAUAAAAUAUAAGGAUCUAUAUUUAAAAGAACAUGACCGCACAUUAUUAACGUGCUCGAAAAAAUACAAACUAUAUAUAUAUAUAUAUUCAUAAUAUAUGAAAAAAAAAUACAAACUACAUAUAUAUUCAUAUGUAUGUUUAUAUUUAACAUGCUACAUGUUAGUUUAUAUAAUAAUACACAAAAAAGCAUUAAAAAAUAUGUAGGGAAAAAAAUUUAACUAUGCCGACGGCCUAGCCGUCGGCAUAGAUCCGACCAGCGUGCCGCGGAUCACUGACGUGGCAGAUAUGCCGACGGCAGCCGUAGGCAUAGCCUCUGCAUGGUGCGGCCUGGAUCAAUGACGUGGCCUGCGGACCUAUGCCGACGGCCCCCCGUCUAGGCCGUCGGCAUAGCUCUGACGUCGUUUGCCAGGGGGUGGCCGGGCCCCACGGUUAUGCCGACGGCCUUCGUAAGCCGACGGUAGCUGUCGGCGUAUAUGUAGAUAGGCCGACGGCCGUUCUAUGCCGACGGGUGCCGUCGGCUUAUCUCUGCGUAGCCCGACGGCCUUUGUACGCCGACGGCCAGAACCAGGCUGUCGGCAUAUCUCCGGAGAAGCCGACGGGGGCCGUCGGCAUUGUUCUGGCCGUCGGGGUAUGGCCCUGUUCCGGUAGUGUCAGUCAACUUGUGAAUAUUUCUCUAGCUGCAUUUGUUGUUAAUCCUUGCUCCCUGAAAUGUAAGCCAAAGCCAAAGCCAAAGCUCCCACUGCACACAACCCAAUCACAUAAGUUCACCCCGUUCUGAAUACAUCACAUGCAGGGAGCUCAGUGCAGCCUCUGAAAGUGCCAAGGUGCACAAGAAAUGCUGCAGGCUGCAGCCUUCAGGCGAUCCGUGCGUCCGAGAGUGCGCGUGCGCUAUGCAGAAGAAGAAAGGCGAGGCACAUCUUGAUUCUUGCGCUAUGCGCAGCAGUAUAAAUACGGGGGAACACCACCCCCAACCAACGGCCCAACCGCCUCGCCACCGCCUCCCACACCAAUUCUUCAAACUCCCGCCAUCCCCAACGGCCGCCUCCAUGGCCUCCUCCCCCUCCUCCUCCUCCACCAUGCCCCCCGCCGCCUCCUCCUCCAUCUCCAUGUCCUCCGCCGCCGCCUCCUCCUCGCGGCCCCCCGCCGACGCAGCGCUCGCGCCGAGCCUCGACUACGACACGGCCUUUCCGGUUCUCGGGAGUUCGCCGUCGCGUCCUCCCAGGGGCGGGAGAGCUGCGCCGCCGCCGCGUCCUCCGGGGAGGAGCGAGGACCGUCUGAGAGGAGGGAAGACGCCCAGCUACACGUUCGACAGCGACACCGUCGGCAUGUCGCUUGGUUCGCUCUACGGGCGCGCGGACGAUGCCGCAGCAGAGACGACUGCGGCCACGGCCGAGGCGGCGCCGGCGACGACCUCUUCCGCGCCUGCCACGAAGACCUCGGUGGGGACGAGCUCCGCGCGUCCAUCGACCUUCGCCGCAGCGGCGGUGGUUCUCUCAGGUGCGAUCAGUCCCGGCCGUGUUUCCCUGUUGAUUUCUUGCUUUCUUGCAAGCUAGCUAAUCGGAGGAAUUCGUUCAGGGGCUCCCGCCCUGCUGCCUGCUGUGCAGGUGUUCGGCGACUACCGCUUCGGGUAUACGAUGGGCGACUUCUUCCAGGACCUCGGGUUGCUGCCGGACCUCCGGCAGCAUCUCCAGGUCGUCAACGAGCCGAGGCAUCGGCCGCCGCUCCAGUUUCAGGUCCAGCCGCCGCUCAGGCCCCCCGCUACUUCAACGCGCCUCCGCCCCAGUUCGUGCCGCCGAGCUUCGGGCAGCAGUUCCAGGUCUCCGCUCGCCCGCUACACCAAGGGGAUGCAGUUCUCGGCGCCGCCCCAGUUCGCGUCGAGCCCUCCGGUGUUCAUACGGGUUCAGUUCGAGCAUCAGCAGGGGUCCUUCACGGGUUUCGUCAGGGUACAGGACAGGUACACUACGAUUUUGCACAGGAAUUUGUCAUGAACUGCAACUGGUGGUAUUCAGAUUUUGCUGUAGAUGCUAUUAGCUGCAUUGCAAUGAUCUCUUGGGGUAUAUUUUUGUGCUAAUCUGCUUAUGCUUGAUACAGUUUACCGAAACUGUUUUAGUCCCAGAAACAGUUUACUGAAACUGUUGUAGUCUGAAAAAACGUUAACUGAAACUCUUGUAGUCUGAAAAAACAGUUAUCUGAAACUCUUGUUGUCUAAAACUCAUAGGUGUUGGGAAUUGUCUGCAACUGUUGCAAUCUUGUUGAUAAGUAGAUUAAGAUAUGUUAUUGGGGGAAUAAAUCAUUAUGGAACUUAAAACUCCAAAUCAUUUGAUUCAUCUCCAUUUGGCCUUAACAUAGAAGAUGGUGAUGCCCGUUUGAAUUAGCCAAUUUGUCAGGACAGGUACACUACGAUUUUGCACAGGAAUUUGUCAUGAACUGCAACUGAAGGUCUUUGAUUAAAUUGUCAUGCACAACGUUCAUAUUCUGGUGUAGAUGCUGUUUGCUGCAAUACAAUGAUCUUUUGGGGUUUAUUAUUGUGCUAAUCUGCUAGUGCUUGAUACGAUUUACUGAAACUUUUUUACUCCCAGAAACAGUUUACUGAAACUGCUGUAUGAAAAAACAGUUAACUGAAACUCUUGUAGUCUAAAACUGAUAGGUUUUGGAAAUUGUCUGCAUGCAACUGUUGUAAUCUUGUAGAUAAGUAAAAUAAGAUCUGUUAUUGGGGGAAUAAAUCAUUAUGGAACUUAAAACACCCACUCAGUUUAUUCAUCUCCUUUUGUCCUUAGCAUAGAAGAUGAUGUGGUAUCCAUUUGAAUUAGCGUCGAAUAACUAUGUGAAAAAAGUUCAGGUUCUAACAAUACUAAAUUAAAUGAAUCUGAUUUCUGCACAUAAGCUAUAUUCAGGUUUUGUACAUGAGCAGUAAUCUUAGAUCUUGUUUCUUUUUAUUCUACAAAAUUCUGAGAUUUAGAUUGUUCAUCUGCCUCGUUCCGAUCUUCUUUGGCGAGAAUAUACUCUGAUCUUGAAUCUAUUAUGCAGAAUGUACAGAUGUUGGUGUAGAUACUAUUUUACUGCAUGAAAAUAUUUAGAAUCUUACUUUAGUUGAGUGCUAAUCUGAUCGUGCUUGGAAAAAGGUUAUUAUAGAAGAGUAAAAGUAGUUCAUUUAGGAUUUGGUAGUUGCCUGAAACUGUUCCAGUCUUAUACAAGAGUAAAAGUAGAUUGAUUUGCCAUGUGGAUUUGUUCAGUCCUUGAUUCAGAUAGUUCAGUUCCAUUCUGGAACAUUUGCCUAUAGGUAGAUUGGCAAAUCAAGUUCAGUCAUCUGAUUUCACCUUUGCAGAUAAUAUACUAACUUUCUAACCUCUGAAUUAAUUCCUCAAAAAACAAACCUCUGAACAUAAUUCAGUUAGUUUUUUUUACAAUAUCACACUUAUAAUCAUUACAAGCAUGUCACAUUACAUAUUGUUUGAAGGUACAGGACAGGUACACUAACAUUUUACACAGGAAUUUGUCAUGCACACUAACUGAAGGUCUUUGAUUUAAUUUGUCAUGCACAACGUUCAGAUUCUGGUGUAGAUGAUGUUUGCUGCAUUACAAUGAUCCUUUGGGGUUUAUUAUUGUGCUAAUCUGCUAGUGCUUGAUACAAUUUACUAAAACUUUUUUUCUCCCAGAAACAGUUUACUGAACUGUUGUAGUAAAAAACAGUUAACUGAAACUCUUGUAGUUUAAAAUUGAUAGGUUUUGGGAAUUCUCUGCAUGCAAUUGUUGUAAUCUUGUAGAUAAGUAAAAUAAGAUCUGUUAUUGGGGGAAUAAAUCAUUAUGGAACUUAAAACACCCACUCAGUUUAUCCAUCUCCUUUUGUCCUUAGCGUAGAAGAUGAUGUGGUAUCCAUUUAAAUUAGCGUCGAAUAACUAUGUGAAAAAAGUUCAGGUUCUAACAAUACUAAAUUAAAUGAAUCUGAUUUCUGCACAUAAGCUAUAUUCAGGUUUUGUACAUGAGCUGUAAUCUUAGAUCUUGUUUCUUUUUAUUCUACAAAAUUCUGAGAUUUAGAUUGUUCAUCUGCCUCCUUCCGAUCUUCUUUGGCGAGAAUGUACUCUGAUCUUGAAUCUGUUAUGCAGAAUGUACAAAUGUUGGUGUAGAUACUAUUUUACUGCAUGAAAAUAUUUAGAAUCUUACUUUAGUUGAGUGCUAAUCUGACCGUGCUUGGAAAAAAGGUUAUUAUAGAAGAGUAAAAGCAGUUCAUUUAGGAUUUGGUAGUUGCCUGAAACUCUUGCAGUCUUAUACAAGAGUAAAAGUAGAUUGAUUUGCCAUGUGGAUUUGUUCAGUCCUUGAUUCAGAUAGUUCAGUUCCAUUCUGGAACAUUUGCCUAUAGAUAGAUUGGCAAAUCAUGUUCAGUCAUCUGAUUUCACCUUUGCAGAUAAUAUACUAAUUUUCUAACCUCUGAAUUAAUUCCUCAAAAAACAAACCUCUGAACAUAAUUCAGUUAUUUUUUUUACAAUAUCACAUUUAUAAUCAUUACAAGCAUGUCACAUAACAUUGUUUGAAGGUCAUGAACUGCAACUGAAGGUCUUUGAUUUAAUUUGUCAUGCACAACGUUCAGAUUCUGGUGUAGAUGCUGUUUGCUGCAUUACAAUGAUCUUUUGCGAUUUAUUAUUGUGCUAAUCUGCUAGUGCUUGAUACAAUUUACUGAAACUUUCUUACUCCCAGAAACAGUUUACUGAAACUGUUGUAGGAAAAAACUGAAACUCUUGUAGUCUAAAACCGAUAGGUUUUGCAAAUUGUCUGCAUGCAACUGUUGUAAUCUUGUAGAUAACUAAAAGAAGAUCUGUCAUUGGGAGAGUACAUUAUUAUGAAACUUAAAACUCCAAAUCAUUUGAUUCAUCUCCUUUUGGCCUUAACAUAGAAGAUGGUGAUAUCCGUUUGAAUUAGCCCAUUUUACUUGCGUCGAAUAAGUGUGUGAACAAAAUUCAGGUUCCAACAAUUCUAACUAAAUGAAUCUUAUUUCUGCACAUGAGCUGUAGAUAGGUUACAAGAAAUGUACCCAAAAUAAAGGUUAAAUCUGCUUGGGUAAUUAAUAUUUAUGUAUUUGCUCUUGACUUGAGUUAAAGUCGGGGGGCCGAAGGCGGCGAGCGACGUGUUGUUGGCGCGUGGGAGGUUCGGGGGCGGGGUGGCGAUCCGACUCAGGGUGGCCACCAACAUUGGGGCCACGUACUGGUUCCUAGGGCUCAAGGACUGGGUCGGUGAGCUCAUGGGUGCACCGCCACGGUAUCGCCCCACGGAGUCGUGGAGCUGGCUAGAUAUUAUGGGAUGUCCAAUCCCCCAGGACAUGAAGGGUGAGUGAGGCUUGCACUCAAGGAGUUGAUUAAUGCAUCAUCAUCAUCAUCAUGAUUAUUAUUAUUCCUUCUUGAGCUAGCUAGCUAGCUAGCUCGGCCGGCUGGGCCUGGGCUGACCUUGUUGUGUUGUGAUUUCAGACACGUGCAGUCAGAGCGCCUGCCUGAUGUGCUUGGAGGCCCAGCACCGGCUGGCGUACGAGCGGAGGCACGGCAGUGAUACGUUCCCGUACCACAUCCCAGCUUCCACGGCCAAGGACUUGGUGACGAGAUGCAAGGCUGCCCGCGUCUGGAACCGCAAGGACGGCGCCACCAUUGACAACCAAAGUUUUAAAUAGCGCGCUAAGCAUCUUAGCGCCGGACCUCUUUCAAAUGCUAUAGCGUGCUAUAGCGGAGCUAUAGCGCGCUAUUUAAAAUGUUUGUUCAUUUGUUUGGACCAAAGUCUCUUAGCGCAAGGCCUUUUGUAAACGCUAUAGCGUGCUAUAGCGGAGCUAUAGCGGGCUAUUUGAAACAGUGUUGACAACGUGCUGAAGCAAAUCCAGCGGGCCGGCGGGGCGGAGGCUUGGCCAGACCAGGACGGCUCGGGGCGGCGGUGCAACCUCCAGGUCAAGUCAUGGGAAUCCUGGUCGUCCAAGCGGCUGCCCUCGGCCUCCAGCCUCGCGCGUAUGAUCCGCACUGAGGGGCCGCUCAUCGGUUGUUUGGUCGUCGGAGAGGAUUACUACGCCGAUGGCUGGGAGAAGCGAGUAUACAGGGGAGGCUCGGGAAAGAAGGCAGGGCCUCACGCCGUGGUCUGCACGGGAUACCGGUACGAGCAGGGCGAGGAGAAGAUAGAGGUGGUGGAGAACCACUAUUGGGAUGGGCCUGCCCAGUGGAUUUACAGGACGGCCUUCACGGACUUUACCCAGAUCAAGGUUGAGCCUCUCGACGCCUCCCCUCUCUUUAUCGGGAAGGAGGUGAGCUGGUGGCGCCGCCUUGAGCGCAGGCUUUGGAGGGAAGAGACGUGCUGGUGGCUCCGCCGCCGUGAUAUUAGCGAGCAAUGGAACAAGACCUUGGCUCUUCACAUGAAGCGCUAGGUUUCACCUGUAGGACAGUGGGAAAAAGGACACUGGUACAUGAGUGACUAUUAUUGAAUCCUUACGUGCAAUGCAAGACGACCCUUCACUUUUUCUUUUCUUUUUGAAAUGUGCAACACCCUUCGCUUGAUAGGCACACUUAGGACUAGCUAGCUAGGCAGUUAGAUUCUAAUCAAGCAAUGGUCUGAUGUAUUCAUGUACAAGUGAUCCUUUAAAAUUUUAAUAAUAACUAGCACAAAUGCCCGUGCCUUGCAAUGGGAGAAAAAGAAUAGGAAAACACUACGACAUGACGGGCAUAUGUCCCGACAGGCAUAGACAUUGGCGUCUCACCCAUGAUGUCAUCAUCACAUAAGCAAUGGGUUGUACAUCUCCACUCCUUGACAAGAUCAGACAGCACUAGUAUGGUUGCCUGGCUGCACACCGCGAUGAACGCUUGCACCGUAUCUUUUUCAAAAAAAAAAGGAAGUAUAGAACACCCUUACCCUAAUUAAUAAGAAAGGAUCAAGGACCCUCUCCACCGGUCCACGCCCUCAAUACCAAAACAGAAUACCACAUUGACAUUGCUUAUCCUCCAUCUCACCCCUUGCCAACGAUAGCUUACGGAUGUUAAAUAACAACUAUGCUAAAAUUAUUUAGUGAUUUGUAUUUAUAACCCAUCUCACAUCAUAAAAUGAUAUAAGAAGAUGUAAAGAAACAUCCUUUGGAAAAUAAUUUCUAGAUUAUUAUGCUCUUUAGAAUUAUUACUAUAGAGUUUAAAAUAAGUAAAUUUGAAUUACCAAGCAGGAAGGAAAUUGUACACUGUAAUUUCAAGUCCAACAGUCCAACUUAGAAGGCUCCAUCAAAUAUAUAUGUUGUUUAGAAUUAUUACUAUAGAGUUUAAAAUAAGUAAACUUGAAUUAGCAAGUUGGAAGGAAAUUGUACACUAUAAUUUCAAGUAUAGGUUAGACGGAUCCAUCAAAUAUAAUGUACAUCUAUGGUCUGAAUUCUUCCCUUUUUAAGACAUCCAUGAACAUUCAGUUACAUUUUAGUUCCAUAGCCCAAGAUCAAUUGUGAAUCAUGAACCCCAAGAAACGGGAUCAAGGAGUCAAUAUUGAACUUCAAAAUCCAAAGAUGAAACAUUACGGUACAUACAUGUUCCCGUGGGGAGCCUCUGUACCUCUCCAUAGCACACUGUAGCAUCACAUGAAGCCACCCAGCAGCCAACAAAUAAGAUUGACCUGUCAAAAGUAGAUCCCAAAAAAAUCCCUAGCAUCAACUGUAAAUCAAACCGGGAGCUUCUUCCACAGAGUGUAGAUGUCAUAGCACGGCAACAGCACACGCUCCACAAUGUUAGUAGCAUAAUCUUGUGCAUCCAUAUUUUGUGAAGGCGGCGAGGCGCUCGUCCACGACUAGCUGUUGAUGGCAUCCACUGCGUGACUGCGUCCACGGCAAGUCGUCCGUUGACGGUAUCCUAGGCCAGGGUACCAACCUAUCCGGUCCAUGCACUUCGGGCUGGGCCAAAGGGCUCUCAUUCUUCACAAGAUGGACUCCGGUGGUCGUACGCUGGGGAGAAGAUUAGGACCUUAUCUACCAAAGAUUUGCCAUAUACUCCAAGACCUCUUCGGUCGCCUCCAAGCCAGGAUACUAACCUUGUAACCGUAGAUGCCCUACUCGGCGUGUAUAUAAGCCGAGGGGUUUAGCCUUUAGAGAGGACAUCAACGCAAUCUCAUUCUCCUAGCCCAAGAGUUAGAACACAUUUGAAGAUCUUGAGGUAGAUCAACUCUAUACUUGUAACAUGUCCAUCAAUAUAAACAAGAGCAGGACGUAGGGUUUUACUUGCAUUAAGAGGGUCCGAACCUAGGAAAACGUCAUCUCCCUGUUCCUGUUACCAUCUACCCAAGAUCCAUAGCUCGGGACCCCCUACCCCGAGAUCUGCCGGUUUUUACCCUGACACUGGUGCUUUCAUUGAGAGUUCCGCUAUGAGAUCGAUAGAAGGAUCGAUGGCUCAUCUGCAAAUAACUUGCGACAACAGUUGCGGGAACGUUUACGUCCUCCCCGAUCAGCUCUUUGUGUUCGGUGGCAUGACCUUCUGCGCUGACUCGGCUGGCCAUCUAGUCCCCGAGGAGAACUAUGCCCCAGGUCAGAUCGUGACCUUUGAAGGCUUGGAGUACACCACGGAUUCCCGUGGGGAGCUCAUCCUGACAAGCUGGUCUCCCAGCUAGGGGGUGGAGUCUCCUGACAAUGGAAUCCUAACUCCGGGACCGAUCUUCGUUGAGAACGCUGGGCUACGAUCUUUGGCAUUGCCAAAGAGCCCUGACGUAACGACACCGGAUGAUCUCUCCUCGACCCCUGCUCCCGAUUCAAAUCCAGCCCGUAUGUCUGAAUCUACAUCAAAUUCGUAGCAGACCCCGACGCUGGACCUAGAACUGUCCACGGUCCUCUCCGUGCUAAGACCACACCGAACUAUAUGCCGGCCAUACUUCAAGUUAGCCCUGCCUAUAGGCCGGCCGUGACUAUCGAAGAGUUGUCUUGCUUAAACAAGACGCUUGACCGCAUCCAGAACAUGUCAAUCAUGGACGACAAGACUUCGGUUUACGACAAAAUCGGACUUAAAAUCAAUGACCGGGAAAUUUACAUCCCACCACCACCCACCUAGUCGCCACCGUCGGUGAUUUAACCUAUAUACUCAACUACGAUGAAGCAACCAACAUGGAUGAAGAUGUUGAGGGCCUCUCUGGAAACACCUCGCCGUUGAGAAAAACCGGCAAAUGGAUAGCAACAUAAACCUGUGAUGUCUACAUGGUCGACACCCCAAAAUCCCCUCCAAGACAUCGGGGUGGACACAGAAGGGUACCAAUGGGGAACCCAGCGGGAACAACGCUAAUGCCGACACAGCGGCCAAAGAUGCAGAGCGUCUAGGAGAGGACUUUCAAGCCUCCCCAGAUCGCCACGUAGAACCCGAAGGAAUCCCAGGAACUCGGAUCCCGACAACCUCUUUGAAGGGGCCCAUGAUAAUUACAUGUCGAAAUCCGAGGAGGGCGUGAGCCUCGGAACUGAAGACCUCAUAGUUCCAGAAAACCCCGUUGAGCAGGAAUGCUUCCGGUAGUGCCUAGUCUCUACCGCUCGAAGCAUGAAGUGGAAAUAACAACAACUGCAGGCCAAUGAAGAUGCGCUAAAUGACAAGUGGGUCAAAAUACUUUCAGUCAAACAAGACCUUGAAGAGCGGCACCAUACCACGCCUAAAUCUUACCCACGUAGACGCUAACUGCCUGAAUUCAAUGACGAACUAACUAUUGAUGUACCUGAACAUCCCCCUCGAGGACGAGACAUGCUAGCAUGGGAGGAUUUCCACACUCAGCCCACUCAUCGCCGUUAUGGCAAGGACCUAGUGGAUUAUUUAGACCCUCACGACAUUCAGUGACAUAUCGAGGCAAAACAAGCGCCUCCUCAGUGGAUCUACGGAUCACGAGGACGUGCGCUUGUCGGACCGGACGGUUACAAUGCCUGGUUAGACAGGAAAAGUUGGGCCCAAGACCAAGCCUACACACGGCUUUCUCCCGACCUCCGACGGGAUACCAGUCGGUUCCGAGGUCUAGCACACCCGAGCUAUUUUACAGAUAGGGUAAUGGAACAUCAAUUCCCAUAAGGGUUUAAGCCUAUCAAUAUAGAAUCAUACGGUGGCACUACAGACCCAGCAGUACGGAUUGAAGAUUUUUUUUCUCCAUAUUCACAUGGCUAAUGGAUAUGACCUCCACGCCAUCAAAUACUUGUCGCUCAAGUUAAAAGGCAAGGCAUUGGAUUAACAGCCUGCCUCCGCAAUAUGAUCGGAAAGUCUGCCCACUGGUUGAAGUUCACGUCAUAAGUGAUGUCCACAUCAAUGGCUCAAUCAGACCACGAUCUUAAAUCACUCACUUUCAAUGUGGAGAGAUAUUGAUUUGAGCGGGAGCGCACUUUAUAUUAAAAUUUGUUUAAACAUUAGUGCAUCUUAAUUAUAAACAAUUCUAAGUGUAGGUUGCAUUAUAGUUGUAGAAUUAGGGAUCACGGUUCCACCUUUUAUGUUGAAAUUGAUUGAGAUGUUUUAUUUGGUUAUAUCUUUAUGAUUAGUAAACAUAAUUAGAGAAUCGCCCUAUAGAGUGCCGAGAAAGAUAGUUUCAUUGCAUGCUUACAAUACUUUCCUGCUGAUGGUAUGAAUGACGUGACUCAUGUCCUUUGAUCCAAAAGGCUAGAAUCCUAUCACAGUCUGCUUACUUCUAAAAGGCUAAAACUUCAAAAUGUUUGGGAUAGUCAUGUGAUAAUCUUGGAACUAUUUUUUCCAGAAACAAACAACGGCUAAAAGAUAUAUGAUAUCUAAAGAAGUGUUUUCUUGCAAGUUCUAGUGAAGCAUUCAACUAUGUGUAAGACUGAAAUAUAUAGGACCCGGGAGAAUAUCAGUCAUGUGUCGAUGGUCAGAACUUAAAGAGAAAGAACAAAUCCAAAAGGAUGUAAUAAGACUUACACGCCUAGGGAAGUUCGAGGCCUAUGCAACUCUUCAAGUUGGAUGCUUCUUCUAUGAGUAGGAGAAAUAUUGGAAGUAAAUCUAUGAGAACUAAAAGGGCAGAAAGAAAAGAAGACUGGAAUGUCCAAUUCAGGUAUGAAUCUCACAAGUUAUAAGAUGUCGAGAAAGUUGGUCAAAUAAAAUGUAAUUCUUGGGAAAUGUGAUUAAAUUGUUAAUCAUUAAUUCUUCGACAUUGUGGUCAAAACUUUAUCACAAGGAUAUCAACUCGAUUACAUGUUGUUGUGAAUCAUUGCAAAAAAACUACAACGGCCUAAAUGACCAAGAAAUAAUGAUGUUAAAACAUUUAAUGGAAACUUUGUAAAAAUUACAAUAUUUCCAUCAUUAUAUUUCCUCUGUACUUAUCAUAAUACAUUUUAGAGUUUUGUACACUCUAGCACAUUGCAUAGAAGUUGCAAGGAGGGUGUUCAUGAGAGAACAACAGUUGUUCGUUGUUCUGAACAAAAGGCCAUACUCCUAUUGUGAAUAAGAGGUAUGCUAUAAAUAUUUAUGAUAAAAUCUAUCAUCCAUAACACUGACGCUAAAUGUCGCAAGACUAAAAGAAUACCAUACUGUAUGGCACUGCAUUUAGUCACAUUGGGGAAACCAACAUGGAGCAAUUCCAUGGUAAAGGAUUUUGAAGUCAUCUGAUUAUGAAUCAUCUGACACUUGCAACUUUCGUAUAAUUAGUGAAGUACACUAAAAUGCCGUUCACGGGCCAUAAAAAACGAGCAACAAAAUAAUUGGAAAUAUGCAUGUUGAUUUUUAUAGUCCAAUAUGUGUGGUUGUAAGUAGUGGAUUUAUCUAUCUUCAAGGAUGACUCAAGUAGAUAUUUAUUUACUUAUUGAGACAUAAAUAUAGAUCCUUUGAAAUGUUUUCAGAAGGUCUUCAGGAUGAAGUAGAACUUAUUGUAUCAAGAAAAUUAUGUUUCUUCAAUUAGAUUGCGGAAAGGAAUAUGUGAGUUACAAAUUUAGCGGAUGGUCUGAUGAGUUGUGAAAAGUAUUUUAUAGAUUGCACCUCCCAGAGCACUGCUAAGAUUAGAGUAUUUUGAGUAGAUGUAAUCAAACUAUGUAUGAUAUGGUGAGAUCAAAGAUGACAUUAAUUAUUUCACCAAUAUAUUUUUGGUGUGAUGCUUUAGUGACCGUGGCUUUUAUAAUGAAAAGAGCGCCAUCAAAUUUGUUGAAAUAAGUGCUACUUUGUAGGUUAUCCCAAAUGGUUGGGUAUUCCUCUAUCAUUACGCCGAGGCAAAGUAUUUUGCCACGGAGUGCCGAUAUUUUGAAGUUCUCUGCAAAAGAGUGAGUGGGAGGAUAGUGCAACUCGACAACAUUGCAGAAUCUUCAUGAUUAGGUCAAAGAAAAGAAACACCAAAAGUAAUUAUAUAAAUUUCCUAUUGUGACUAAUAUGAAAGUAUUUACAUGAGAUAUAAAGACUUUGGUCGAACUUGCAGUUGAACUACAUAGGUUGGGCAAAUUCGUACAGACAUUUGUGGUGUGCAGAUGAAAUAUAGUUGAACAAACAAUGAACCUAUAAUACACAAAGAAGUGUUGAUGGGCCCUAACUCCGAAAAUUGGCUAUAUGCCAAAGUUAUCUGAGAUAAUAUCCAUUUACAUAAUUCAAGUUUAGAACAUGAUAAACCCUCCAGAAGACUUAGAGUCUGACGAAAAGUAAUGGAUCUAUAAUCUGACAAAGAUAAAAAAAAUGUUUUAUAAAGCUUGAAUUGUUACUACUAGCUUAUGAUACAAGAUCGAGAAUUUAACUAUAACAAAAUUGUCUCAUCAUAGCAAAACUUAAAGUCAGUUCGGGUUAAACUAGAAUGUUAAAUAUUUCAGUUUUGAGAUAUAAUAAUGGAUGUCAAAAUGAUUUCCAUUGGAUCGAAUAGAGCAAAGGUUGUAUAUGUGAGACGGUCCAAGGUAAUUUUUUGAUCCAGAAGAUGAGUAAGUGUGCAAACUUCAAGAGAUCCUAUAAUGGACUAAAGCAAGCAUAAUGGAUUUGGAAUCUUUGUUCUAAUGGAUUGAUCAAAUAAUUUAAUUUUAUCGAGGAAAGCCAAGAUGUUUGUAUUUACAAGAAAGUAAGUGGGAGCAUGAUAAUAUUUAUAAACACUGUGUUUGGAUGACUCAUUCUCAAUUGGAAAUUAUAUAAAUUUCUUGACAGGAAUUAAAACUUUGUUGGAACUAGUUUUUCAGUAAAGUACUUAGGCAAUAGAGCCUUGGAAUUAGGUACAAUGAUCUAUGGAGAUAGUAGUGUCUAAUAGGGCUUAGCCAAAAUAUGUAUUGACAAGAUACUAAAACAGUUUAGUAUGAAAAAACAUCAAGAAGAGUUUCUUGUGAUAGUCACAUGGAAGGAGUUUUAGCAAGAAUCGGCAUCCUGAAAUACUGAUGAGUGAAAUACAUGACUUCAAUCACACUUGUAUUCCCAGGUAUGUAAAUAAUCAGAUAUGUCCAGUACUCCAAGUUAGUUGUGGGUAAGUUACCAGAAUGAUCAAAUUGUGGAUAAUAGCAAUAGUAGAAAUGUCAUUAAGUACUGAUGACAUGUUUCUCGCAUAUGGAGAAAAUGAAGAAAUUAUUGUAAGGAGUUACAUCAAUACAUACUCGUUGUAAGUACGUAGUACAUCGAUAAAAUCUUCAUCGGUGCUCCAAGCGAUUUUCGAUUUCAAAUCAAUGAUUUAUGGUGGCGCAAUAAGUUGGAAUAUAUCCAAGAAACUUACUAUGGUGAAUUUUAUAACAAAAGACUGAGUAUAUUCUUGCUUUAAAAGCACCAAAUGGAGGGUGAUGAAUCAAAAGUUCAUUUAUGAACUUGCUAUUAUUUCUAGAUGAUUGUGCUAUUUGAACACUGUUCUUAAUAGUGGUUCCACAACUCAGUCUAAGGAAUCAAUGGUCCUACUAGUGAUUCCAUACAUAGAAAGUCAGUUUCACACAAAUUGUGAAUUCUUGUGAAAGCAUAAUAGAUGACUACUGCAGGAUGCUGCUAACGCGACACUACGAUCAGAGGCCCAUUCAAGAAACUGUGUGCGAUGCAAUGAUCGCAAAUGGUGGUGUAAGAGAACCGUCAAAAAUGUGCAAAACAUUUACGAUGACGGAUGCAUCAAUCAAGGUUCAGAUUUUAGUUGCGUGUGCGAUGAAGGGCAUAUGGUUCAGUUCAAUGAACUGUUUGCGACGAGGAGGAACAAAAGAAACGGGCAGCCAGAUGAAGGUGUGUGUGAUAUACAGCAUACGGUUCACUCGGUUGAACUAUUUCUGAUUAGGCAACACAAAAGAAAUGGUUAGGCAGAUCAAGGUGUGUGCGAUAUACGGCAUGCGGUUCACUCGGAUGAACUGUUUGCGUUGAGACAAGAGAACAAAAAUGGUUCAAUAUAACAAGAUGUGUGUGAUACACGGCAAAUAUGUCUGUAAUCAGAAAUGUGUGCGAAGACCGAUAAUAACACAGACGAUUGCUUCUAAUAAGACGUAUGUGAUAUGCUCUGUCUACACAACAUGUAUUGGCCAUUGGGGGAUGGACGGUCAUCCGAAUGUGCCAUAAUGAUGCGAAGAGGCAUCCUAUAUCAGCAAGGACUAGUUGUUCCACCAGUAGCUCAUCUAAGAGAACUCUCAAGUUAAGUGUGCUCAGGCUGGAGCAGCCAUCAAAUGGGUGACUGGAUGGGAAGUUGUGUUGAUGUUAAAUUAACUGAUAGGAUGGGUCAUAUCGGUCAAAUGACCGAAAUGACCCAUUCCCUCAGCUAACUUAAUCUCGAGGUCCUUGUUUUUUAUUUUUAUUUAUUUUUAACAUAUGUUAAAGAAGGUCUACCACAUUACAUUUUGACAAUGUGUAUACGUGGGAUACAGUUGAUCCAUCCGACCUGUUAGUGAUGGAAUAAGCCGUGUGUGUUGUGGGCAAAUGCUUGCUAGUGUACAACCAUUUGCGGUUGAUGAAUUCAUCACCGACGGGUUCCCUAGUGUGGUCCGUGUUCAUCUGAUCAUCAUCUACUUCUUGUGCUAGCUCGAUGUUCCUCUAUAUUGUAAGCUUCAAUUAAUUUUGAUGGCGUUCUAUGAACACGCCACCGUUUCCCGCUAUUUCCUCACCAAUUUCUCGCCACCCAUCGAUAUUGCACAUAAACCUAGACACGACACGACGCACGAAGGCAACAAGCGCAGCCUGUAGCACAUCCACCUUUUCCAAGCAUGCCAACGCACCAAAGCGCCGCCUCUACCAUCAACCUUGUCGACAAGGAAAACCAGAUGGCGCCACGGCCCGUCGAGGCCGCGGCGCUCGACAACGCGAUGGAGGACACCGUGAUGCGCGUCAUCGCCAGGGUUGAGCAGACCUUUGGCGCAUAGCGCUUCAGCGUCGAGAGGCUGCAGCUCGCCGCACAACAUGAUCGAUGGCACGCCGCAGAGCAAGCAAGGCGCAUCCACGCUAAUAGGCUGCAGCUCACCGCACAACGAGAGCGUUGGAGCACCGCAGAGCAAGAGCGGAUCCAUCGGCGCUUGCCUCUGUCGACAGGGCGUCACAGCUAGGUACACGUCCCGUCAGUACCCCCAUUCCUCGCUAGGAGUUGGCACAGGCCCUCUGCACCGUACUUGCACCAGAGUCCGGUCACGCCGUACUUGCACCGGACGCCCACCGUGCCGUUCACAUGGGUCGCACCGUUUGCCUUGUCCGUGGCCCGCUCGAUGCCAACGCGCUGGUCAGUAGGCUCGACCGCCUCCUUGGCCCAGGUGUCCACCCGUGCACAGUAGAGGAACAUGGCUGUCGCAUCCUCGAGGUGGUGAUUGUCGGUGGAAGCGACACCUAUGGGAUCACUGGAUCCCUACUACUGUCGGCGGGCGCGAGGUUGUGGAAAGAGCGGGUCUAGGAGCCAGCACAAAGAUCGUUUACCCAGGUUCGAGCCGCGAGGAUGCAUAAUACCCUAGUCUUGCUUUGGUGUAUAUUUGAGUGUUCUUGAGCUAGCCACGAUACGUGACUUGUUCAAAAGAGCCGAAUCCCCCUCCAGUAUGCCUCCGGCCUCCUUUUAUAGAGAAAGGGGAUGCCUCAGUGGCACACAGGAGGCGGAAAGAUGUAGAGUGGAUGAGCUUAUCGCCUGUCAUUACGGGACAAAUGCAUUAAAUGCGCCCCUUAGGUGUCCCCUUGCUUUAUUGGGGACGGUAACAAGGCCCAUACCGUCUGUCGCCGCCUCGCCUUGCUUCGACACGCGUCCUGGCCAACGAGGCGUGUGGCGCCAUGUAGGCUAGUAGGCUGCUGAGCUGGUGCGGUGGCAGCGUUUUCACGAAGAUCUGCACGUGAACGCGUAGGUGCUUGCUGAGUUGGUCGAGAGGCUGCACAUCACCAGCAGGUGCUCUCCUAGCUGGCUGGGUUGAUAGCUGCAUGGGAAUGGCGGUGGAGUCUUGGCAGGUGCUGGCCUGGCCGCGGCCCUGCUGAUGUCCUCGGCAAGGGUCUUCCCAUGGCAGCGCGGUCGUCCCCGGCAAGGAUCCUGCCAGAGGCCUCGUGGAUUUCCUCGACGAGGAUCUUGCCGAGCAUCGUCGUCUUCUGGUCCCCAUCUGAUCUUGCAUGCUUAUGACCUUCAUGAAGAUCUGCAUGCCACCAUGGAGGUGCCUCCCGAGCCUUGGUUCCAAUGUGGUUGAUGGCGUUGGAACCCUUGGGCUCAAGGGUGGCAUGCUCUGCUGGCGUUGGGAAAGUUGCCCCAACAAGGCUCUUGUCGGGGCUGCGGAGGCUGCCCCGUCAAGGGUCUUGCUGGGGGAGUCUACCUUGCCCUCUUGCUUCUUGUGUCUCCGGUCUUGGGGUUGCCUUGAUUGUCUUGUGGCUUUGGAUUCCCUCCUCUGCCCUGCUAAGUGUGGCCGUGGGCGCGACUCUGACUGCGCACAAGUAAAGGGGUACAAAGGAGAGCCCCUACUUUUGUACACCGACAGGAGCCCCCGGACCUGGGCCACACAUUAGCGCAACGUGUUGUUUGGCUAGGCCCAGAAUGGUGUGCGGGCAGGCGGGGCGAUUUUUUUACCGUGGUAACUCCCUUGCUUGUUGCGCUCCCCCACGACCCGCGUUGAAUAUGUGACUUGGGGAUCAUGCGUGGUGGUGACCGAAGCAUGCCUGCGUCAUCCUGUGGUGAAUAGUACAGAGGCGGCUCGCGUGUCCCUUUAAGACUGCAGGUCCGGUGCACAUUUACUUUCUCCACCUUGGGACCGUCGUUCCACGUUUCCUACUACGCCCGCCCCUUGCGCCAUGUACACUGCAUGCACGGCGUGGGGUAGGUGACAGACGCACGGUAUAUGGGAAGGCGCGCGGUGGCCGAUACUCACGUGCCUUGAUUGGGCGGAGAGGGCGGUCGAUGACUUCGCUCAUCGCCACUUAAUGAGCCGGACCCGAGCGGGUUCUUCAGAGGCACAGAGCUAGUCUUUUAGCCUUCUCUGCUCAUCUAUAAGAAGGGGACUCAGGAGGAGGAGGAGGAGCAUCCCCUCGUGUAUCCCCUUCGUCGCCAUUCUCCAUCCAUUGCUAUGACGAGAGGGUGCGCCGGUGCUCCGAUGGCAGCGACGAGGGUCUCUGCUCGACAGCGUGCCCCUCCCUCCCAAGAGCUCAUGGCGGCAGAGCCGGCCGUGAGAGGAAGGGGGAGGGGGCGAGGUCAAGGCCGCCGUGGCGUUUGGGGAAGAGGAGGACGGGGCGGUGAUGACCCAUAAGGGUAGGGGAUCAAUCAUAGUUCUUUCGAUAAGUAAGAGUGUCGAACCCAACAAGGAGCAGAAGAAAUGAUAAGCAGUUUUCGGUAAGGUUUUCUCUGCAAGCACUCAAAUUGUAGGUGAUAGAUAAUUCUGUGAUAAGAUAAAUAGUAACGAGUAACAAGUAAAUAAAGUAAAUAAAGUGCGUCAAGGUAUCCCAAUCCUUUACGUAGCAAAGGAUAAGCCUGGACAAUUUCUAAUAACGAGAAAGGAGUUCCCGAGGACACAUGGGAAUUAUCGUCAAGCUAGUUUUCAUCACGUUCAUAUGAUUCGCGUUCGGUACUUUGAUAAUUUGAUAUGUGGGUGGACCAGUACUUGGGUACUGUCCUAACUUGGACAAGCAUCCCACGUAUGAUUAACCCCUAUUGCAAGCGUCCGUAACUACAAAAGAAGUAUUAAGGUAAACCUAACCAUAUCAUUAAUCAUAUGGAUCCAUAUCAGCCCCUAAUGAAGCAACGCAUAAACUAGGGUUUAAGCUUCUUUCACUCUAGCAACCCAUCAUCUACUUAUUACUUCCCCAUGCCUUCCUCUAGGCCCAAUAAUGGUGAAGUGUCAUGUAGUCGACGUUCACAUAACACCACUAGAGGAAAAUACAACAUACAUCUCAUCAAAAUAUCGAACGAAUACCAAAUUCACAUGACUACUAAUAGCAAGACUUCACCCAUGUCCUCAGGAACAAACGUAACUACUCACAAAGCAUAUUCAUGUUCAAAAUCAAAGGAGUAAUAAUAUGCAUAAAGGAUUUGAACAUAUGAUCUUCCACCAAGUAAACCAAUUAGCAUCAACUACAAGGAGUAAUCAACACUACUAGCAACCCACAGGUACCAAUUUGUGGUUUUGAUACAAGAUUGGAUACAAGAGAUGAACUAGGGUUUUGAGAGGAGAUGGUGCUGGUAAAGAUGUUGAUGGAGAUUGACCCCCUCCCGAUGAUAGGAUCGUUGGUGAUGACGUUUGUGAUGAUUUCCCCCUCCCGGAGGGAAGUGUCCCCGGCAGAACAGCUCCGCCAAAGCCCUAGAUUGAUUCCGCCAAGGUUCCUCCUCGUGGCGGCGGAGUUUCAUCCCGUAAGCUUGCCCACAAUUUUUUCCAGGGUAAAAGCGAUGAUAUAGCAGAAGAUGGACACCGGAGGCCCACCAGGGGGCCCGGGAGAUAGGGGGCGCGCCCUAUAAGGGUGCGCGCCCUCCUCUCUCCUGGACAGGGUGUGGGCCCCCUAGUGUAUUUUUUUCUCUCAAAAAUUCUUAUUAAAUCAAAAAGAUGUUUCGUGGAGUUUCAGGACUUUUGGAGAUGUGCAGAAUAGGUUUCCAAUGUUUGCUCCUUUUCCAGCCAGAAUUCCAGCUGCCGGCAUUCCCCCUCUUCAUGGUAAACCUUGUAAAAUAAGAGAGAAUAGCCAUAAGUAUUGAGAUAUAAUAUGUAAUAACAGCCCAUAAUGCAAUAAAUAUUGAUAUAAAAGCAUGAUGCAAAAUGGACGUAUCAACUCCCCCAAGCUUAGACCUCGCUUGACCUCAAGCGGAAGCCGAAAUCGAAAAAUAUGUCCACAUGUUUAGAGAUAGAGGUGUCGAUAAAAAUAAAAUACGGACAUGAGGGCAUCAUGAUCAUUCUUAUAAUAGCAACAUAUAUAGAUUUUAUCAUAUGAUUUCUUAUGCUCAAGUAACAAUCAAUUCACAAUGUCAAGUAUGGUUCAAAAACUUCAUUGGGAACUAACAAACUAUAAUAUCAGUCAUUGAAGCAAUUGCAAUUUAUCAUAACACUAGAAAGAGUCAACAAUAGAGCUUUUCAGCAAGUUCACAUACUCAACUAUCAUGUAGUCUUCUAUAAUUGCUAACACUCACGCAAUACUUGUGGUUAUGGAGUUUCAGCCGGACACUAAGAAAGAUAGGGGCUUAUUGUGUUGCCUCCCAACGUAUUUACCUUUAGGUGAUGUCAACAAUAAUAGCCCAUGCUAACUUACAUCCAAUUGGAUAUAUAUAUAUAUAUAUAUAUCAUGAUCUUUCAAACACGAGGAGCUUGCCAAAUGAUAAAAUGAAAAGGGAAAGGUGAGGAUCACCUUGACUCAAGCAUAAAGUAAAAACAUAAAGUAAAAGAUAGGCCCUUUGCAGGGGGGAAGCAGAGGUUGUCAUGUGCGUUUAGGUUUGAUGCACAAAAUCUUAAUGCAAAAGAACGUCACUUUAUAUUGCCCCUUGUAUGUGGACCUUUAUUAUGCAGUCUGUCGCUUUUAUUACUUCCACAACAAGUUCGUACAAAGCUUAUUUUCUCUACACUAAUAAGUCAUACAUAUUUAGAUAGUGAUUUUUUAUUUCUUGCAACAUGACAACUUACUUGAAGGAUCUUACUCAAUCCAUAGGUAGGUAUGGUGGACUCUCGUGGCAAAACUGGGUUUUAGGAUAUUUGGAAGCACAAGUAGUAUCUCUACUUGGUGCAAGGAAUUUGGCUAGCAUGAGGGGGAAAGGCAAGUUCAACAUGUUUGGAAGGUUAAUGACAAUAUACUUUAACUGAGAUGUCAGAAAACAUAAACCAUUAUGUUGUCUUCCUUGUCCAACGUCAACUCUUUUAGCAGGUCAUACUUAAUGAGUGCUCCCAAUUAUAAAAGGUGUCCAAGAUAAUAUAUUUAUAUGUCAACCCCUCUUUCCUUAUCACUUCCUAUUAAUUGCAACGAUGACCAAGGCUAAGUUUAUCAACUCUCAACAAUUUUUAUGCCUCAUACUUUCUAUGUGUGAAGUCAUCACUAUCUGUCAGGACCCCGACUCGAUGUCACAUCGAUCUAGCCGGUAACACUUCAUAUCACUUUGCGGCCUCACGCACGGUGUUCCCACGGGUGUCGCCUUACCUUUGCCCGGGACCGUUUGCGCCUUUUGGCUCACGUAUAUGAUAGUGUCGCUAGCAUCCAUAUGAUAAAGAGCCCGGGCUGACAUGACUAGUCGUAAACCCAAAGUGGCACAGACUUACAGGGACAGGCAUUCAUGACCCAGCUUCGAACGUGUCGGUCAUCAGCAAGUGGGUCCGGGCUGUAGCACUGGGCUAGCAGGACUCCGGUAAACCGGGCUGUAGCGGGCUAACAGGACUCCGGUACUCAAAGCGUGACAUUUCCCCGAAGGGACAGACACAGGAACGAAGAAGGACACAUGCCGGCCAGCCUAAGUGUUCCGGAGCAGUAGCAAGCUACCAUGGCUCAGUGGAAACACUAGGAGACAUUUCCCGGUAAGAGAGGCUACUAAAGAUAAACAACUAGAUGGUCAGAUCCCACACAUACCAAGCAUUUCAAUAACAUACACACAAUAUGCUCGAUAUGUGCAAUACAACAUGGCAUCACAAAAUGACUCUACGACUCAAGUAAUUUAAUCAAUAGGCUCCGAGGAGCGAGAUAUUACAAACAUGGGUCUCAUGACCCAACAAUCAGAGCAUACAAGUCAAAGCACAAGCGGAGGCUAUCAUGUCUGAGUACAGACAUCUAUAAAUGAAAAAGGCUGAGAAGCCUGACUAUCGAUCAGAUCCUGCCGAGGGCACAAGAUCGUAGCUGAGGUAUCAAGCUAAACGUCGAAGUCCAAGCGGAACUACUAAUGAGACUGAAGUCUCUCUGCAAAACAUAAAAUAUGCAAACGUGAGUACAAAUGUACCCAGCAAGACUUACAUCAGAACUAACUACAUAUGCAUCAUUAUCAACAAAGGGAUGGUGGGGUUUAACUGCAGCAAGCCAGCUUUGACUCGGUGGCUAUCCUAACUACGACUGCAAGUAACUCUUUUGAGGUGGCGCACACGAGUCCACAUAUUCACCAUAUCAAUACACCACUAUGGAAUCGCUCCCGUCUCCCUACGAGAACGCCAUCCAUAGCACUCACGCUUAUCUUGCGUAUUUUAGAGUAUCCACUUUCACUUGUCUAUGAACUGAUAUAAGCAACCCAGAAGUCCUUUUCCGCGGACACGGCUAUUCGAAUAGAUGAUGAUAACCCUGCAGGGGUGUACUUCUUCAUACAUGUUUCCACCACUUAGCGUCUGCACACGACAUGUGCUCGGCAGACUUCAAGCGAAAGCCGACAUGGGUGUAGACCACGACCUACCUAAACACCUAAGUCUCUAGUCCAGGUUUAUCGCCUAUUCGGGUUCCAUCCAUGAGGAGAUCCGGCCGGAGUUUCGCUCACAGCCCCAAACGAUGUGAACAGGGUUCCGUGACACCAAACGGGCGCCCGGUUUACCCGGCCACGUGCCUACCGCAUCACAGCCCACCCCUACGGUCAGCGCUGUCCACGGCCUCCAGCAUACUACAAACACCAGAAACUACUUGCAACUCCUGGACAGAGGACAAGGGUGAAUAAGAAGUCGAGCGGGGUCAUAUUUCAGGGCCCAAUGUAUGGUAGUAGCUGAAUCAUGGAUCACAAACACAGAACUCAGUUCCUGAGGACGGCUUCAAUGAGACAACCCACCAUGUACUCCUACAUGGCCUCUCACCGCUACCUUUACCAAAUCGUAUUCACACACUUAGCUCACACACAGUAGGACAUGUUCACACGCCUCUGAUUCAUCCCCGAUGAAUCAGACCUGACUCAACUCUAAGCAAUAGCAGGCAUGACAAACAAGCAUGAAUGAGUAGGCACAUCAGGGCUCAAACAACUCCUACUCAUACUAGUGGGUUUCAUCUAUUUACUGUGGAAUGACAGGUCAUGCAAAGGAUAAAGGGGUUCAGCUACCGCAGCAAGUAACAGAUGAAUCGUUGUUGUCCUAAUGCAGUAAAAGAGAGCAGGAGCGAGAGAGUAGGAUUGUAUCGGAAUGGACAAGGGUGUUUUGCUUGCCUGGCACUUCUGAAGAUAACAUUGAGUCUUCAUCAGUGUCAACGAUCACAUCAUCGGUACACGUCUAUCGAGAGGGGACAAAUACCGGCAAAUACAGAAAAGACACGAUCAAUGCAAUGCACAAUAUGAUGCAUGCUAUGACAUGGCAAUAUGAAUGUGUUUUGGGCUAAUGCACCUAAAACCAGAUUAAAUGAAGUUGGUUUGAAUACAAGAUUCAAAUUCAAACUCCAUAUGUGAUUAUUUAAAUGCCCUUUAAUUGAUUUGCCCUAAACAGUAGUGAUAAGUUGUUCUAACAUGCAUGAAAAUGGUACAGAUGGAUUCCUUGAAUUUUUCUGAUAAUUUUUCAUAUAUAAUUUAUUUAAUUUGGAGUUACGGUUAAUUUUCUAUGAUUUUUAGAAGUUUAUAUAAUUUUCUGGAAUUUAUAAAUCAUUUAAUAAUUAUCUAAAUUCCAGAAAGGAAUUAUUGCGUCAGCACUAGGUCAUGCUGACCUCAGCAUAGUCAACAGGGCUGCCCCGGGUCAAACCUGACCAGUGGGGUCCACUGGUCAGUGACACAGGGACUAAUCCCGCGUUGACCCGGGCUGGUUAGCUCUGACUAAGCCCUGGGGCCCACUGUCAGUGGCCUAGGGGGUUGGUUAGCGGGGGUAGUUAGGCCCUAAUGACCGGCCACGUCGGCUCCUGCUGGAGUUUCGCCGGCGGCGACCAUUAGCGCGGCGGCGAGAGUGGUUUUGGCCACUCCGGCGACCAAAUGGGCCGCGGAGGGCAUCUAGGAGGAGCUGGGGACGAGCCGAAGCUCCUGGUGGAGUCAGUUGCACUCGGGGCGGCCGGAAUCGGUGCCGACGGCGAGCGAGGCGGCGGCCGGAGCUCGGGUGAGCUCGGAGUCGGCGUUAGGGAGCACGGCAGGAGGGGCUGGGGCGUGCUACGGACUCCUGGGAGUGCUCUGAGUACGCCUGCGUGCUCGGUUUGAACGGAGGUGAACCAAAACGACGACGACGACAAGUCCGGCGCCGGUGAGGUCUCGGUCUCGACGGAACUAUGGCCUAGGGCUCGCAAACACGAGGGGAGAGAGAGGGGGUCUGCACAGAGGCUCACCGCGGAGCUGUAGGGAGGGUCAGUGGGCUCGGGGGCGCGCCGGAGUGGCCGAAUUCGACGGAGAACGGCGCCGGGCCGAAGCUUGGGAAUGAUGACGAUGGCGGCUGCUCGGGGCCCUUCCAGUCACGUGGCUCGGUGAGGGGGUUGGCGACGAGGUGCAGGAGCUCGGGAGCACGUCGGAGAGGGGAGGGGGUGGCCGCGGUCAUGGCUACGGCGAGCGGCACUCCCAGGUGCGUUCGGGGAUCACAGGAAGAGAGGGAAAG